rnacentral:lncRNA from 1 species
AUCGAUAUAGAGAUAUUAAAUAUGUUUAAAAGGUAAGUUAUACAAAUAGAAAACUAAAAUAAAAAUGAAUUAAAAUAGGAUGAAUAGUUUAUAAAUAAAAAAAAUCGAAAAUUGGGUCAAUAAAUAAUCCGCGCAAGUAUGUAGGGACUAAAGCUGGAAAUAUUCUAGAUGCCCAAAACGCGACACUGUACAGUGGACUAGAGUGCAAACACGCACAAAUUGCAGGGGUAAUAAAGAAAAAUCCUGAAGCAUGAGUGCGAGCUGAUUGAAACGUGGUGCGAAAGGAGAGGGGCCGAUUUUGGAAAUAUACCCUCAUUGCAAAAACACGCGGGUCAUCGGGGCAGCAAACUGGAUCGAGUCGGGCCCGAUUAAACGACGUCGUUUCUGAGCCAUUGAAACGGGCUUAAAACGGCGUCGUAUUUGGUCCUUUAAAAGGACCUAAAGCUGAAUCAUUCGGCCAAACAAACCCUAGCCCCUCUUAUCCCUCUCGUCUGACCUUAGAACUCCCCCUUUAGCGCCGAUCUACGUCUAUCAGCAGAGACGAACAGCCCCGGGCUUCAAAGGAUGACCAUUUCGGUCGUGGGAUCCCUUCUAAACCCCGAUUUCGACGAAAUGAAGGGGAUACGACGGCCAACUCGCAAGGUAAACCUCUCUUUUGCUUUCUUUUUUUGUUUUUGAGAUAGAUUUCAAAAUAAAAAGAAAAUAGAGGCGUAAAAAUGAAAACAGGGAACAACCUUUGCAGAAUAUUCAACUUCUUUGUAUUUGAUUCCUCUUUUUUUUGUGUAAUCUGUUCGUAGUCGUAUUACAAUCGAAAAUCAAAGGCUUUAUAGCCGAAUAACUAAAGAAAACAACAAUUUUUGUCCUCUGCUUUUGUAUUGGCUUGUUGCUGCUUUCGUUUGUUUUCUUUUGCAGGUACGGAGCACGGGGCUGUGCGUUGGCGCUCGGGUACGGGUCUAGGCUAGGGUACGGAGGUGGUACGGUCGUUGCGAGGCUGUUGCGGCGCAAGAGGGUGACCUAGGGUUCCCGAAAGUGUUGAAGUUUUUGGGCUUUUUGGGCUAUUCGGGAUUGGGCUUAUUGGGCUAGGAUAUUAAGUUUGGUUUUUGGGUCAUGUAUUGGGUUUUAUAUAUUUUUUGUAUUUGUUUGUUUUGUGUUUACACGGGCCCAGGCAGAUUUGGCCCAUUACAAUGUAAACAUCAAAAGUUAAAUUUAUUAUUAUACUAAUAAAAAUUAUGUACAAUUGAUAGAGACAUUAACAAAAUAAUUAAUUGUCUGAAAUUGCUCACUUAUUAUAAUUACUCACUUAUUGUGAAACCGUAGAAUUAAUUUACUUAAUUUUGAAAAAAAUCUUCUACUUCAAAUUUUUUUUAUACAAAUUAAAUAAUAUACUUAAAAAAAUAACUCCACACAUGAGAUUCUCUAGUGAAUUAUUAUGAUACUUAAGACUAUUACUUUCAUAGCUACAGUUUGAUCUCAAAUAACAUCCAAAUAAUAGAGUUUGGAAGUCUGUCAAAUCAAAAUUGAGUUCAUUUUAGAUUAGUGAUAAUUUUGAGUUUAGAUUUUUGGGUUUAAAUAAUUAUUUUAUAGUUAUUUAUUUGGUUUGUGUUUUAGUUUUUUUUUUUUUUAUAAUUUAUGUUUGGGGUUAUCAUUUUCAAUAAUAUUAUCUCUAAUAUUUAAAUUGGCAUCUUUCUUAAAAGUACAAUAUACAUUAUUACUUCACUUAAUAUUUAGUGAUGAAAAUAACUUUGUUAUUUUAGUGAAUACAAGGAAAGUAAGCAAGGGUUUUGGCUCCGCCUCAAAUAUAAAAUUGUAAUUUUAAUUCCUUAAAUAUAAUUAAAUUAAAAAUUAAUAUGAGAUAAAAUUAUGUUUCAAUUCUCUCAAAAAAUAUUUAAUUCCUUUAAAAACAAUGAAAUUAUAAAUUCAUAUAAAACAAAAUCUAUAUUUUACUACCUUAAAAAUUUAUAAUUGAAUUUACCUCUAGAAAAAAGAAGUGAAUCAGUGUGAUCUAAAUUUUAAGCAGAGUUGUGAUCAUAUUGCCCAACUUGGUACUUUCGAAAGUCAAAAAGUAUCGAGUGGUACCACCCAACAAUGCAAAAAGUCAUGCUUAUCGACUGGUACUACCCAACAAUGCAAAAAGUCAAACAUGUUCGUGUGGCUGCCUAACGCUUUUUUUUUCCUUUAAAUAACUUAAAAUUUUUGAUUAAUUAUAAAAAUAUCUAAAUUAAAAUGAUUUCCACGGUAUUAUAUAAUCACACUUCAAUCAAUUUAAAAAGCGUAAUUAUUUUAUUAGAUCCUUAAACGAUUUAUAUAAUUACGAUUCAAUUUAGUACUAUCAAUUUAUCGAAUUGUACCACUUAAAAAUUAUUAUUAUUUAAAAUACAAUCAUUAAUCGAUAAUGAAAGGUUGACAGAAAUUGAAUCAUUUACGUGUAAAAUUUUUAGAUUGGAUUAUUUUCAUAAUUAAUAAUGCCUUUGGAUUUUGUCCUCUGCAGCUAAGAUUUAGAAAAAGCCGUAGUUAAUAAUUGGAUGGAUAUGCAAAACUUGGACCGACCUUAUUUGUUCAUUUCUACUCAUAAAAUAAAUAAUAAAUAAAAAAUAUCAGAAAAGUGUAAUUAAUGUGUAUCAAAACGUAAUAAUAAAUUAUUUUUAAUUGUUGCCUAUAAAUAUCAAUUAAAAAUACCUAAAAUGUGAGGUCAUUUUAAUUUUAGUAAGAAGAAAAAUUCUGUUGGGAGAUUUAGAAAAUGGCAGCCUCAUGCUCUUUUUGACAUUUUCUAUGGUUCAUUGUUGAAUAGGCCUAAAUUUUACUCUCUUUAUAUAUUUAUAUAAGCACAAUUCGGACCAAGCUCAAGUUAACUCAUAAACCAAUUCUACAAUUCUUUUAUAUUAAUAUUUAUAUAUUUUUAUUUUUAUAAACAAGCAAAGAAUCAAGAAAAAAAUGGGAUAAAACUCAUUCAUCACAUAUUUAAAUAUUAGGAUUGAAGCUGAUUAGGUAUUAGUUCGGUUGGUAUCGAAAUUGUUGUAGUAUGAGAGAACGUGGAUUUAAGCGUACUCAAAUACGUUUAUUUUUUUAUUUAAAAAUUAGAAUGAGAUUAUGACUGCUUUGCAAUUGUACAUGUCAAACUUGAACUUAGAUAAGUGACAAGCUAAAAUAUAAUUUUAUCAGUAUAUUAAUUUCUUAUGUCAAAAUCUUAAGAAUAUUAAAUUGAAAUUUUAUCAUAUUAAAAAUUAAAAUAUAAUUUUAUCUUUAUAUUACUUUAUAAUUUUAAAUAAAUUAAAGAGACUGAAAUGAGAUUUUAUUCGAGGAUAAGGCUCAUGUUUACUGUCUUAGCGCGGUUUUUGACAUGGGUACUCAAUGAAUCCGGUUCACCAACAAUGCCUUCGAAUAUUAUAGGGGUAUUGAGCAAUGCAUUGAAUAAUAUUCAGCCAUCAACUGAUUAAAACAUUAAAUAUUAAUGUUAACGUCUAAGUAGGGAUGUAGCUAGAGGGGUAGAUUAGAUAGUGGCCUUGUCCUCCCUUAGUUAAGGGGUAUAAUAUUUCUUUUAGUCCCUUUUAGUUAUGAAGUAUUCAAUUUAAUUAUCUUUUGAACAAAUUUUUAACUUUAGCCACCAAACUUUUAAAAUUUUAUUUUGGCCCCCUAAUAAUGAAUUGUUGGCUUCACCCCUGAGCCCAAGUGUAUUUCAUACUAAUAUAACAUUGUUUGUCUUAUAUUCCAUGUUAAUAAAUAAUUUAGAAUUAUAAAAUUUUAAAUUUUAAAAAUUCAAAAAGAUUAAAAAAAACAUGAAGUACACUUAGAUUGCCAUGAGAGUUUUCAUGUUUAAAAAUUUAACGUUUUAGUCAAUACUUUAGUUAAAAAAAUAACAAUUUGAUUAUUUUAAUAGGUCAAGGGCUAAAUUUAACUAAAAAAAGAAUAAGAGUUAAAUUGAUAAAAGAUGUAAAUAUUAAAGGUUUAAUUUAUAAAUAUAUCUUAAAUUAGAAACAAAUUAGGGUUCUUUUCUCCCUUUUUGGUCGAUAUUUCCCUUUUUCUAGAGACUAAAAGCUAUAAUUAAAUAUUUCAUCUUUGCUGCUAUAACCCAAAACUGAAAAUCGAUAAAAUGACGAUCAAAUUAUUAAUGGAGUUGGUGAGCCAUCAUUUGACUUUGUGAAGCCAUACAAUAAUAUACCAAAAGCCCUUUUUUGAGGAGAAAACUUCAAUCUUCAGCAAACGCGUUUUUUUCCAGUAUAUCAUUUAAACACUUUUUACAUUCUCUGGCGUUUUCCCCCAAAAAAAAUACUCACCAUUUUUUUCUUUAAUUUUCAGCUUUCUUCCUUAUACAUUCUUCGUAAUUCCAAUCUACCAUCACAUAAACAAAGAAAAAAAAAUUCUGGGUUUCUUAUCGAAUCUCCAAAUCUUUCUCUUUCAUUGAAGAAAAAAAUUGAAAAACAUGUGUCCUAUGAGGUUCUUAUUGGUGUUUUUCUCGGCGAUUUUAGCUGGGUAUUUCGCUUGGAGAACGGCGGUGGGUUCAUCGGUUGAUGCCGAUGAUGGGGUUUCUGAAGAUUCAAGGAAAAUUGUUGCCAAAAAUGAACAAGAUUUCAGUUUCAAAAUGGUAUGCAUUCGUGUUCGUAUUAUCAUAUAAAUCAUGUUCAUAUCAUUAUAUUAUUUAAAUUAACUGUAAUUUUUUUUCCUGUUAUUGAAUUUCCUGAUGGUUAAGAAUGGAUUCUGGGUAUUUGUUGAUAUGGCUAGUGGAAGGUAUUUGUGGAGGAAUUUUAAGGAAUUGAAGAAUGAUGAGAAAUUAAAGAGCUCUUAACAGUUUUUGAUUGAAUUGUAGAAUUAUGUCAAACCACUUUUUUUUUUCUUUUUCUUAUUCAAUAUGUAUGAAUGUAUGUAUGAGAAAUUGAGUUCGUUGUUGUUUCCAAAGAUAGGGAAAUUUGAAUCUAAAGAGAUGAAAAGUUCUCAAUUAUUGUAGAUUUACCAUGUUUUAUGAAUGAAAAUUUAUAUAAUUAGAAUCUUUGGUUCUUAACUGAAUUUCCUGCAAAUUUUAUUUCUAUAUUAGAGCUUAAUGCUUUUUGAAUAAAUUUUCGAAUUUUAAUUUUGUGGAUAGAGAAAACAGUUUUCGGUGAGUUUUAAUCUGUUUAAGAGUUUGAUUCGAUUAUAAAUUUAAUUAUAACUCGAUGUGGUUAUCGGAUAAAAUUCUUCAUUUGUAAUUGUAAUGACUUGUAGUUGAGUUAUAAAAACUACAUAAAAGCAUUAAAAACUGUUAACACUAUAUUAACAAAAGAGGAAAUAAGGAGGAGAAGGUGGUGGAGAUAAGGAAGUUGGUUUAUCUAUAUCAAGCGGAGAGUCGGAAUAGGUGGAGGAGAGGAGGAAUACUUGGGUUUUUCUCAAGGAAGGAGGAGAUCCUUUGUCUGUCAUGCUAUAGGGUAUACAUAAGGGGUAUCCCUAUCCCGUUAUGCCAUGUAGUUGACAAUAUGAAAGGUAGCUUGCUUACGUGAUCGGCCAGGUUGUAGAGCCGUUACAAAUCAAUUGCCGCCAUAUGUAGUACUGUGUGAUCCUGCUAUGAUAUUUUCUUUAUAGAGAUUGUUAUACUUUGUGGUCCCCACAAAGAGUUCGUAGUGAAUCGUCUUAACUAGGACUUGUGGAGGGUCACUUAUGGAUGGUUUUGGACGAGAGUCACAUUAAAGGAUGCUAAAUGGAGGGUUACACUCACGGAUCGUCCCAAGCAAUCCUCGAUGAAGGGUCCAUGACAAGUCACCUCUUGCCCUACCACGUGUCCUUGUCAAGACAAAUGUAUAACAAAAAUAAAUCAUAGUUGUUGAAAUCAAACUAAGUCAGACGGUUGACAUGGUUGAAUUAAAAAUCAGUUGGUUCAACAAUUCAAUCAAUAUUACAAAACCUUUUUUAAUCGAAUCAAUCUGAACCACUACAAAAUUGAAAAUUGAAACUGGUUUGGGUUAAUGUAAUCUUUAACCUGUUUAAUUUUCAUUACAUGUCAACCUUAAAAAAAGCUAAAAUGUAAAAAUUAAAAUAGAAAUAAAUCGGGUGAAUUAGUUUUUAUUUGGCAUAAUAAUUUAUUUGGCCCAUCAACUUUAUAAAAAAAAGUCAUUUUUGCUCUCCAUUUAAUUUUUAGUCUUUUUUAACUAAGGUUUGUUAAUUUUAAUAACGUGAAAUGCACGUGGAUUAUCAUGUCACAUUACAAUUAAUUAUAAAAGAAUAUUUUAAAAAAUUAAAAAUUAAUUAAUUAUUAAUAUGACAUUCACAUUACAGUUCAAGUGCACGAUACGUUAGGAAAGUAAAUAAAUGUUAACUUUUAUAUCUAUUUUGAGAUGAUUUGAUAAAUAGUAUAAAUUUAAUAUCCAGAAGAGAUGAAAAAUUAAAUAAAGAGUUAAAAUAAUUUUUUUUAAAAAAUUGGAAGAUGAGAUAAACCUUUAUGAUUUUUGCCGUUUGCUACGUUGCUGUUAAAGCCGCCGCCUACGGUUUGCUAUUGCCUCUUCAACGUCGAAAUUGAUUUUAAUAUAACAACUAUACAAAGGAGAAUGAGUAACAAAUAGUUGUAAUUAAAAAAUAGGUUGAAACACAUUUGAAACCAACAACUUAAUUUCUUAUUUAGAUUUUUAAAAUUUUUAAAAUUUUAAAUUAAUAAAAAUAAAAUUAUUUUUUAACUCUCUUAAAAAUGAUAAAAAAUUAAUUUAAUCUUUUAAAAAAUUAUAAAAAUAAAAACUAUUAAAAUAAUAAAAUUAUAUUUUUACUAUCAUAAAAAUUAUAAUUUAAUUUCGACUAUUCUAAUUUUUUUUUUCCUAACAGCCCGCUUCAAAUAAUGUACGAGAAAAAGAUGAAGGCUUUGAGAUGAGAGUUUUUGCUUUGGAAGAAAAUAAAGAGGAUGCUAGGAGACGCGUGAUUUUUUUAAAAAAUGCUUUGUAUUUGGCACCAUUACGCUCUCUUUUUCUUUAUUGUCAUAGUUACUUCAAUGUUUUGUACCAUGUGUAAAUUUAAUGGUUUUGUGGGUAGCUUUAAUGACAAAUGGUUUUACUGUUGGUUUAAAUUUUUAUAGGUUAAUGUAGGCUUUAUAAAUUUUGAAUUUAGUUUUUUUAAUUUAUUUUUUAGAUUUUAACAUUCAGGUCUAAUUAUUAAUAAAAUUAAUUAUUUUAUUAAAUUUAUUGAUAUAACAUUUUGAAAUAAAAAAAUUCACUUAUAAAAAUUUUAAUUAAAAAAAUUGUAAUGAAAUAAAUUUAACAAAAAAUUCUUAACAACGUUCAUAAUUGAACUUAAAUUUUAAAUUUUGAAAAAUAAAAGAACUAAAUUUUUAAGAAUAAAAGUAAAUAGGCUAAAUUCUAAAUUUAAAUAUUUUCAAUUCAUUCCCUAGCAUAUUUGAAUUUAGAUAAACUUGAAAAAAAAUUUUGAGGAAUAUAUUGGCUAAUUUAAAUAAGAAUUUUAUAUAAUUUUUAAUUUUAUUGUUUUUAAAAAAAUGAGAAGGAUUUGUUUUUAUUAUUCUUACUAGAACUCAUACCUUAUCGAGCAUGUUAUCCUAUUUUAAAAUUGGUUUAUUCUACAGUAGCAAAUGCUUCGUCACAAUAGAAAUUUUAAUGAAGCGAGUUUAAUCAUUAGUCAAGUCGCAAUAAAUGAGGGAACUAUUUUGAAAAUACUAAAAUCUCGAGCUCGAGGAUAGAGUUAUCUGAUAAAAAGACCACUUGUCAUCUUUUAAAGGCUAUUUAAAUUUAAUUUUAAAAUAAAAUAAAUUACCAUGUAAAUAAAUUAAAAGUUUAAUUAGAUGCUGCAAUACUUUCAAGUGGGACCCUUUUUUCAACUAAUUAAAAAAGAUAAUUACUUCAUCAAGUCCCUAAACAUUUUUCUCCUACACGUUUCAGUCCAGUACUACUAAUUUAUUAGACAACUUCAAAAAUUUUGUUUUCUGUGAGGAAUUUUUAGGGCGGUGCUGCCUGAAAAAAAGUGGCAUCCAACUUUACCAUAAAAAUCAAGUUAUUCUCAUAAUUAAUAUGGAUUAUUUUCAUAAUUUUUUAAACUUAUAGAAUCAAAUUCCUAAAAAUCCCUGCUUUGUUACUUUCUUUCCUAUGUCUAUGCCGUCUUAAGCUCCUAUAAUAUAUUAUUUUCUCUCUAAAAUUAUAUAUAUUUUCAGUCAAGAACUAAAAUAAUAAAAUUGGUUUCUCUUUUGUUUCCUUUUUACUCCCCCCCAAACUUGCUAAGCUUUCAACUUUCAAUCAAGCUUCAAUUUUUGUCCUCUCUCUCAGGUACUUGCCAACCUCUUUGUUACUUACUUUCAUGUGAUGGGUAGUUUUUAAUUUCUAGAAAACUACUCAAAAUGUGAUAAAAACAUGCACCCUUUUUUGGGGUUUAUAUGUAAAUGAUGAAGCAUUUUCCCUUUGGGGUUUAUUGAAGUCAUCACUGUUAGAUCACAGCAAGUCUGCUACGAAAUGAUUUGGGUUUUUAAGCUUUGAUCCUUUUAUAGAUAAAUAGAAGAUGCAUUUUAUGUGUUUGCUGUUUUGCCUGUCCUAUUAGCUGUUUAAUGGUGGAGAUUUGCUUCCCUCACUAUGAUGUGUAGGAUUAAAGAGAUUUGUGAAGAAAUAAGCAUGUUUUAUCGAUUUGAAACAUAUUUUAGAAGAUUCCAAGUAGUGACUAGAACAAUGUGAAUGAAAUGGAAAAAUGAAAAUCAAGUUUAUGUAUCCUUCAGCAGCUUAAUUUUUAGAAAAUUAAGAACAUUUUAUGAAUUUCUAUAAACUAUGAAGCUAUCUUUCUCUGAUCCGACACAUAUCUCGAUAUGGAUACGAGGGUAUGAUGUUCUAAGAGGGCUCCAAGUAUUCAAUACUGACACCUGGGUCUGAACAUCGUAGUUAUUAAGUAUUGAGGUUUAGAGAGGCUUCUGUAUAUACAAUGGGCACUAUAAACCUCUCAUACUAAUUUUUAGUGGUGUCUGGUAUACAGUAAUCUGGUUGUCAUAUACUGAUUCUGUGUUUACUUCUCGUAUUCAUAGAGAAUUGAAGACUAGGGAAGUUAAGAUGUCGACUAUGGGAAAUUCGACAAAUAUAUUUUGGCAAGAAUCGCCUGUUGGGAAGCUUGAGAGACAGAAGCUACUUAACCAAAAGGGUUGUGUUGUAUGGAUCACUGGUCUUAGCGGAUCAGGUUUAUAGUAAAAAAUGACUCUCUUAUCUGCUUCUAUUUUUCCUUCCGAGCCAUGAUUCCCAUUCCUUGAAACUUAAAACAAUUAUCAGCUUGCUUUGCUUCAUCCUGGUUUCAAAUUUGAAAAAUGCUUCUUAGAUCCAAUGAUCAUGUUUCAGGUAAAAGCACACUUGCAUGUUCACUAAGUAGGGAACUUCAUACAAGAGGCAAGCUAUCCUACAUACUUGAUGGGGACAACGUUCGGCAUGGAUUAAACAAGGAUCUUGGUUUCAAGGCUGAAGAUCGAACAGAAAAUAUUCGCAGGGUUGGUAAGUAUGUUGAGAAGUAGAAGUCUAUAUAGCUAACGUGUUUGGUUUAUGUAAAUAGUUUUGUCCAGCAAGCAAGACUUGUAAUAUAUGACUGCAAAUCGUGGCAAAAGUUCAGCUAUCUGCAGUUUAACUGUUAUUAAACACUGUAUUAUUACUGUAUAUGAUUGUUACCUUUGUUGCUUCAACUCUUCACUUUCCCUGAAGUACCUGUAUUUGACACAAUAUGAGGGAAUGAUUCUCCAAAGAUAUGAAUAGACUUAGAAAUUUUUUUUAAGUAUACCCAUAUCCAACAUUCACAUUGGAGUCCGGGUAACUAGAUGGUUUACACGAGUUCGGCUUUUCUUUUGGAAGAGCCCGGUUAGGGCACUGUUCUUCUUUGAUUUAUUUCAUUUCAUGUUGUUUCUAACAUUUUGUGCGUCUAAUUCAGGUGAAGUGGCAAAGCUCUUUGCAGAUGCUGGUUUAAUCUGCAUUGCCAGUCUAAUAUCUCCAUAUAGGAAAGACCGUGAUGCAUGCCGAGCAAUGUUGCCGGAUGCUUUUAUCGAGGCAAGGCUCCUUCUAAGUGGUUCUCAUCUUUGCUUAUGUUGUUGUUUGUACUUAAGUUGAAAUGCCUUUUUCUUUGUACACUUGCAGGUUUUCAUGAACAUGCCCCUAGCAUUAUGUGAAGAGCGAGAUCCGAAAGGUCUUUACAAGCUUGCCCGUGCUGGAAAGAUUAAAGGUGUGCUCAAUUUCCUUCAUACAUUCAUUAACAUUAAGUUGCCUUGUUCAUGUUAACAGCAAUAUAUACGCAUUGUCAUAUAGAAAUUCAUGGUGAUUUCUUUUUUAAUGGAUGAAUUGUAGAAGAUGAUUCCUCAUUUAUCCUUUACCAACUAAUUGCGUUACUUUUGCAGGUUUUACUGGCAUAGAUGAUCCUUACGAACCACCUUUGAACUGUGAGGUAUGUGUUUAAUUGAAUACGGAAAUUAUUAGCGGCGGCAUUGUGAAUUAAAAUUAGGCUAUUAUUCUGAUAUAAAUACUGCUAGUUUAUGGGUAAUCGUUUUCCUCCUUUAUAGAUAGAACUAAAUCAGAAAGAUGGAGUUUGUCCCACACCUAGUGCCAUGGCUGAGGAAGUAGUUACUUACUUGGAGGACAAAGGAUAUCUGCAAGAUUAGCGACCAAUUCUCGGUUGUCAUGGUCGAGCAUUCUCAGUCGAGUUCAAUUGCCCGCCAACUUUGUAUUCCUUUCGUCCCAAGUAAUUGUUAUCUUUUAAGUGGACAGGGUUUUCAAGUUAGUGGGCACAUCAAGGUCACUAACAACUCCAUUUUUUUACUGGAAAUUACGGAUUGAGGUCAUUGGAUUUAUUACUUGUAUUCUGGAUAUUUAUGAAUGAACACCACUCGUGUCUCAGUUUGAACUUCUUAUAUUUACAACAUUCUAGUCUUUAAAGCGAGUGCAUUCAAGUGGAUAUGCCAUGUCGCGGAAUAAACUCCGUACUGGUGCAUUCAUGGUGGAUCCAGGAAAAUUGUGGCAUGCAUCGAAAAUCAAGUCUUAUUUGUGUAUUUUAUCCUGCAGAAAUUGAAACCGAGAUGGCAGGUGCAUUUUCAAUUCAAAUCAUGUAAUGUAUAUAGACAUUAUUAUCAUCAAUUGCGAUAAAUACUAGUAAAUAAAGAGACUGUAAAAUAACGGUCGUAACUGUCUGUAUAAAUAAUUUCAUUUUGAAAAUUCUGUGUCCCAUGAAAUUCAGAAAAAUAAAAAUUGAGUCAGUUUUCGAUUAACUACAAACCGGUACUUCCGACCACCAUGGAGAACAGCAUCAAAUGGUUUGCUUCCAUAGGGCUUUCGGUGAACCUCCAUACUUGUAGCUUUCAAGAACUUAAAUCAAUUUCCCGAAGCCUAUCAAUGCUGUUUAGAUGCUUUGUUGAGUUGUAUUCUUGUGCAUCGAGGAGUUCGUUCGAGUAUGUUCUUCGGAUUGAUCGAUUCCAGGAUUUUUUACAACAGUUUGCAAGAUGUCCAUCACACCUCAGUCGUACUGUGACCUGCAACAAAAACAAACUAGGUUAACCUGUUAUUUAUGUUAUUCCCGGUGUACCCAUUUCACUUGUUUGCAGUGCUUCCGUCUCUUGAACAAAAAGCAGACAUAAAGCAUGAGUCAAAGACCAAGACAUCUAUUUGAUGACAAAACAAAACAAUUGAAAUUUUCAAACCGAUCAAAUGCACUUCAAUAACAGUUAUAAACACUUAAAAGUCAUAUCAACUUCAACAAUCAUCCGAAAAUGAGAGCACCGGAAUGAAAAUGUUAUUGUCCUUAAGUCACCAACAAGAGUUUUAUUCUUGUACCUACUACUUAAUGGCUUGUUUUACAACAUGAGUAACAGUCUGACAAGCGGGUGCUACCGUUGAACAUGAACUAACACACAAAUCAUAACAUUGAAAAAUAUCAGCAUGCCAGAAAUAAAUGAACCACCAUGGAUUUAUCAAUAAGAAAGAAUUCAAUCAUGAAAGUACCUACGAUUUCCUAGCUUAAUGAGAUGAACAAUAAUGUGUCACUCUUUGAUUUUAUAAGUAUAACUCGUAAAUAGUUCUCCAGUUAAUUAAUUUCUUGAACAGAUAUUCGAAAACUUCAAAAUCUAUCACGAACCUGACUCAUUUGAGGACGAAGAAUAGGAGAGUGCUCGAUGCACAAAGAGGCAGUCGAAACCAUGCGAUUCGCUUCCUUUGGAUCAUAAUCAUCACCUAGGGAAGGAUCAAUGAGCCCUUUAAUAUCAUUCUUAUCAAGCAGAGGCUUUGCCUACAAGAAUCAAAAGAGUAUAAGUAACCAUUUUUUUUACGAUUACAAUAUAAUUGGAGUUUGGAGGGAUCAAAUUCAUCUCGAGGAAAUAUACCCAUAUUACGAUGCUUUGUUGUUGAUCAUCUAAAACUCUCCGUCCUGCAAUGAGCUCCAAAAGUAGAACUCCAAAUGCAUAUACAUCGGUUUUCUCAUUAACUAAGCCAUGCAUGAAGUAGUCAGGAGCCAAGUAGCUGCAUCUCGAGAAACAAAUGUGUCAGCGUUACCAAAGAAGUAUUUAUUAACUCGAUACAGAUACUUUAGGCUUACAAACCCAAAGGUGCCUUCAAAUUUCGAUACAUUGUGGUGAGUCCACUGUUUUGGUAGCCACUUUGCAAGGCCGAAAUCGCAAAUCUGGAUGAGAAAUCGGCCAACAUAAUCAAACAAUAGAACGAAGAAAGGGAAUGGUUAUACAACAGAUCAUUAAGAGCUUUAUAAAACAACUGUCAUAAACUUAGUUCUUAUACAUAAAUUGUUUUAUAUUAACAAAGAAAAGCACGAAACUGACAUCCCUGCAAGCCUCUUGGCAGGAUAUGGAGUCAGAAAACUCGACUUUCAUAACUAAAACACGACAUGUAAUAUUCAAAACUUUCACCAUAACUACAGCCACCAGAAGAGUGAGCACAAAGGAAGAAAGCAAUCAAUAUCUCACAUACGCUUCGCAUUGGCUCGACCCAAAGUUGCCAAAUUUACGAUCUAAAAAUUAAAGCUUGCACAAGGCUCCGCCCGCACUUAAUGAAAGCGUCCGGUAUAACAACCAUGAUCUAGGACAGCAACAUAACCAAUAUAAUUUGACCAGUUUAACUAGGAGAAAUGGAAAAAAUAACUAGUAUUAGGUGAUCCAAUGUAUGGCAUUGAAAAGUUUCAGAGUAGAGCAAAUAGAAAUCCUUAUCGUUUUGCAGAUGAAAUGACCUAAGCUAAAAAAUACACAUGGUCGUCUAUGCCUCCAUAAGCAAUGAUUUUUUUUCCUGCAUCUACUCAUUAGUAGUAUAAAUUUUCUCGUUUUACAAUGUUAUACUAUAUUACCCUUACUCGUCAUUUUCCUUGAAGUAUUCUUAUCCAACACAUAUUCAAACAUGAGUAUUAGAGUAUGAUCCUCCAAAUAUAUCGAAAAGGCUUACAAAAACAAUGUAUGGGGAAUAUUAGUUUCUGCAUGUUUCAACGCAUUAUGCAACUUUUUUGUGUUCCUCUAACUAUAUGUUCUUAUGAUUUAGUACGUAAAUAGCAACAGGGACAGUGAAGUAAACCAUGUCCUGCAAAAUUAUUGAAAAUUUUCAAAGAGAAUAGUAAUAUAGAUUUUGGCCACUAAGUAUGCAUAGAUCAUUUCGAUAUAUAUAUAGUAGCUAGUUCACAUAGAUAACCUGGAUUACUUAAUAUUGGAGUAGCAGUUUCAUGAUUUCUUUGUAUCAUGAAUGACAUAGAUGUGUGUUUUGGACUCCGUACACUCCGGAUUCCUGCAAAUCUUUCACGGCCCUCUGUUUUUAAAACAUCUAAUUCGGUGUAGCCUACGAAUUUAAGACUUGAGAAGUACCUGAGGCUCAAAAUUCUCGGUAAGCAGAAUGUUUUCAGCCUUGAUAUCUCGAUGAAUAAUACGCCUUUCGCAACUCUCGUGAAGAUAUGUGAGGCCAUCGGCCGUACCCAAAGCAAUCUUAUAUCUUUUACUCCAAUCUAGUAUUCCUUUCGAUCCUGGAUAAAGUCAAGAGCAUCACAAGAUUUCAUAAAAAUUGAAUAAUUACUACUUGAGAUAUACAAUCCAGACCAUUAAGAACAAACCAUGAAGAACCGAUGCCAAACUGCCGAAUGGAGAUAACUGAAAAACAAGGUGCAUUCCUCCUUCUACGCCACACCCAAUCAAUGUAGCAGUGUUCGGAUGGUUUACAUGCGCUAUAAUGCCAAGCUCACUCAGGAAGGCAGCUGUCAUCUCAUCCGAUGUCCCUUUUGUCGCACGUUUUAUUGCGACAAAUCUUCCAUCUUUCAAACAACCCUUGUAGACUAUUGAGUAACCACCCAUUCCAAUUAUGUUUUCUACAAGAAAAAGAACCUUAUAUUCGUCUGCACCACUAAACCUUUAUGCCAUUAUAUUUUACUGUUUUUGCAAGUAUUUGAAGCCUUGAAAUUAAUUGCAUACCGCGGUUAAAGUUGUCAGUUGCAGCUCGGAGCUCGGGUAGGCUAAAGUUUUGUAAAGAAGACUUGUAGUUGUACAAUUCUUGCAUCAUAGGAUCCUCUUCCACCCUCUUGCUGCUCUUUCUUGAUCGCUUCGAUGCAGAGAGAAUGGGGAUCGAAGCGAAGUGCUUUUUCGAUCUUCUUUUCCAUAAUUGGAAGAGUUUUUUCCAGUUAGAAAGUGCUACCGAACCUGUGCAACUAACUAAUGCGUGCGGGCUAUUAUCAGGUGAAUUUUUGUUGGAUUCCGAGCCUUCAAAGCAUGCUUCUAUAACUCCUUUUGGAGACGAUCUAUCUUGUUUCUCCUUUUCGAUGUUGGGGCCCCGUAAUUCUUCGAUGCAAUAAGAAACAAAGAGUGGUAAAGAGCUUGAAGUACUAAAACACAUGAACCACAUAAAGAUAGAGAUAACUACCAUGGGCGGAUCCAUAUGAAGAAACCAUAGCCUCUUGUCUUCUAUGUCUUGCUUGAACAACCAUAUCUUCGAAGUUCUGCUCCGGCCUAUCGCCUGAACCGAUGGAGUCCGAACUGGAAGAAAUCAAUGGUCAUUACAAAUCAAUAAUCCAAAUAAAAAGCUAGAAAUCAGGAUCUGUGCUUGUCUCAUUAUGUUUAUAGGUGACUUUGCUAUGGAGGAGAUAAUUAUAAACUUAGAAGUGAAUGAUUUGUUGAAUAACCAAAAGAAAAAAGAAUGAAAAUCAUAAUCACAUCAAUGAAAACUUGAAAAUCCAAUAUAUAUAUAUAAGCAUUAUUUACGUAACAGGGGAAUAAGAAAUGAUGAAAAUGGGAAAAUUCCUGAAGGAAAAUAACCAAAAAUGCAUGUUUAUCAUGUAUAUUUAUGUUUAGAAAAUCCCCAAAAAUAAAACUUGAAAUCACCACUUAAAUAGGAAUGAAAACCAACAAUCUUCUUUGUAAGACAGAGAAACAGCACAAAAAAAACGAAGAUCUAUACAUUUUUCAUAUCUUUUCCAAAAAAAUCAAAUGGAAGAAGCCAUUGAGAUACCACUCACCAACCAUUAGACAAAAUACCAAAAAGAGCUCAUCUAAUAUUCAAUCAAAAUUAGAAGAAAAACAGAACUUUCAAUAAAACUAAGGAGAAAACAAAUUAAGAACUCAUUUGCAGGCAUUUUUUAAAAGAUAAGACACUCUCAAAUGAGAUGACAUGAGGCAUACAAACCUUAAAGUUGCUUGUUUCUGGUCAUUAAUGUCAGCCAUGAGCACUAUCAAAACAAGCAAAUAAACCAAACCAAACAACUAUGUGACAGAGAGAAAGCAAAGCAAGUAAGAGAAAGAGAGAGACACCAAACAAAAGGGAGAAGAAAAAAUUAUUAGAAAUGGUUUCUAUGAUAUUAUAGCCCUGUUCUUUAGUAGUCAAAUUAAAUUCUGAACCCCACAAAAUUCCCAUUGUUUAUGUUUUGCUUUCUAAUUCUAAGCCCCCGAAAAUGGCAACCUCAAACUCUAAAAAUAACUAUAUAUGGAAAAGUUUUUAAUGCUUUCUCUCUCUCUCUUUAAAGAUUUCUAUGAUAGCAUACAAGGCCUCCGGUGUCGACAGUAUGCUUGGUUUGUUCUAACGUGGUUGAACCCAUUAUUUUUUUUUCAGUUAAAAUGUGCUAAUGCUGUAAUUUAAAAUCCUUAAAGUUAAAAAUUAACUUUUUAUUAUUUAAAAAUAUUAGUCUUAUUGAGUUUUUUUUUUUUUGUAUCUUAGAAAUGGUGUGGUUUGAUUAUUUAUAUGAUAGGGUACUAUUUAUUGAUAAGACAGAUUAAGUAGACUUCAUGCAUGUAGACAUAUUCCCUACUCUAGUCUAAACACGUGUCUACAUGGUUCCGACUUUAUGCAACCUCACAAUACAGAGACCAAGUCUAGCUCGUCAAUCUACGAACUUAACUUGCAAACUCACUCCGUGAACUUAGUAUUUGGGUUAAACCUACGAGUUCAUUAGGAUUCAACUCAGGCCUAAUAAUGAUCAUCCUAACAAGUUUAAUCAUUAUCAUCAUCUGUAAUUUGUCAAAUUUUGUUAACAUGUUUAUUUUUCGCUAAUCAUAUGUCACAUUAUAUGAAAACAAUCAAAUCAAUGUGCGAAGUUGAUAAAUUUUGAGAGAAAAUAUUAAUAAUGUCAAUGAUUAGACUGAAUUUUUUAAAUUAAAAUUUUAAGCAGGUAGACCAAAUAUCAAAUUUUAUCAAAAUACAAUUAUUGACAGCAUAUUUUAAACUAUUUUUUCUAUAUGAAUGAGCUUAAUGUAAUAUUGAGAUUAAUAGGAUUAAUCAAACAAUUUUGGUGUUCAUUCCAUGAGUGAUUUAUAUUAUUCUAAUUGAGUGACAGUUUAGAUUAUUUUAAUGAAAUACAGUCGACCUUCUCUAUAACAGUCAUUUGUUAUAAUGACAUUUCGUUAUAAUAGAUACGUUUUUAGUAUAAUCAAAUUUUUAUGUUUUACUUUAACAUUCUAUAACAGUUUUUCCGUUAUAACAACAACAACAACCAACUAUAGUUGUGAAGUACAUUAUUUAUUAAAUUAGUUCUCUAAAAUAAAAUAUUGUCUAAAAUUUUAAGUAAAAUUAUAAUUAUUUCAUAAGGUUAUUAAUUAUAAUUUAUUAAAUAAAAAAAUUUAAUUAAAAUAUUAAUUUAAUAAAUAUUUAAAUUUCACAUGCAAAAAAAUCUAUUAUUCAUAUUUUAUUAAAUGAAAAAAGAAUCUUUAAUAAGUGGAAUAAAUAUUCAAUAAACUAUGAAGAUCUCCCGUUAAUAUUCUAUCAUAAAUUUGGAACUUCAUAAACUUAUAAAUAGAAUAUUUGAAUUUAAUAACUCAAAAUAAAUUUAUUUAUUUAUUUUGAUAACUCAUACUAAUUAAUUGAACUUGUUAGAUUGAUGAAUAUUAUAAUUAAUUAUGUGAAAGAAUGUAAAAUAAAAUGUGAAUAAAAGUAAUCAUGCAUGCACAAAGUAUAUGUAUUUUAAUUUUAUUAAUUUGAUUUCUACUUUCUCUAUUUUUUUCGUAUAAUUUUCACUCUUUUUAUUUGAUAGAAAUUUAGAUAUAAAUUCUAUUGUAGGUUUAUAAAAAUUAUGUUUCUAUAACAACAUACUAUUCUAGAUAUAUAACAAUCACUUCUCUAUAACAGGUAAAAUCUUGAUAAAAAAGUGGAACUAUUAUAGAGAAAAUUGACUCUAUACAACAUGGUUAUAGACAGGGACAAAACCAAAAAAAAAAAAAUUAGUGGGCCGAAUCCCUGCCAGCCCUUAAUUUAGUCACGAGUUUCGCCCCUAAUUCUAAAUGACAUUUUAUAUGUUUGAUUAAUAAAAUAUUUUAUCUAUUUAAAAAAAUUCUUCUCUCUACAAAACAAUAUAAGAAAAAAAAAUAGAAGUCUAUGCUUUUUUUUUCUGAUUUAAUAUUUUUUCUAAUCAAAUCAUCAUUGUCGUUGAUAGUUUUUUUUUUAUAAUAAUUAUUACCUUAAUAUGCUUAUUUUUUACCAAUCAUUUGUCACAUAAUAUAAAAACAACCCAAUCAACGUGUCAAAUUGAUGGAUUUUACCGGAAAAUUUUUAAAUCGAAAAAAAUAAGAUGACUUAAAUUUUAACCUUUUAAGUAUAGAAGAAAAUGGCUUAAUUAUUAACUUUUUAAUCUCAAAUUAACAACAUAUUUUAACCUUUAAUUUUUAAGUUUUUUACUUUUCAAAAAUUGUAUUUCCAAGUAUCAAACGUUAACGUUUUCUUUUGUUAAUUCCAUCGAACAUAUGAUAAGAAGACAUAUACAUCUUUGUAUUUUUUUUAUCCAAUUGAACAAUUUUAUAUGUUUAUUGAUUUACUUAAAAUUAAAUUGAACAAUUUUAUAUAUUUAUUGAUUUACUUAAAAUUAGGACUAAAGUAAUAAAUUUUAUAAACAUUAGAAAGUUAAUUUUUUUUAUUAUGCUAAUAAAAAAUACACAUUAAACUUCAGUCAUUGACUUAACGGCAGAGUAAUAUAAAAUUCACCCAAAAAAAUUUAAAAUUGUAAUAAUAGAUAAAAGAAAUUUUCAUUAAUUUUCAUUUAAUUACUACUUAAUUAAUAUUAAGUUAGACUUUUAUUUAUAUUAAAUUAUACUCAUUGUUUUAGAAUAAUUAUCCUAUAAACCAAUUAAAAAAAUGAGAUUUAAUUGUAUAAAUAGCUUCCUAAGAGAUUGUUAAUAUUAAAAAGUUAGAAGUAUUUCAAAAUAAUAAAAUAUUAAAUUAAUAGUUAUUCGAUAAGAAAAUAUCAAUUCAUAUUUUUUUAAAUAAUUUCAUUACAAGUUCUGAUGAUAUUUACUCUUUUUUUUUUACAUAAUGCUUAGAACUCUUCCUGUAUUAUGCCUAUACCAAUUAAGUUAAGACUCAAUCUGUAAAAUUAAUAAUAUUAAAAUAUAUAUAAUCAAUAAUAAAAUAAUAUAAUAUUGUGAUAUUUAUUUACUACACUUUUAUUUAGUUUAUUCAUAAAUCUCUUCAAAUUUUCCAUUUAAAAUUUAUUCAAAAACUAUUAUCUAAAACCCUUCGCUCGUUCACUACUAAUUUUUUAAAAUUUUCUAUUUUUGUUUGAGUAAUUAUUUUUAAAAAAAGUGUUAUUCUUUUAUUUUUCUUGUAGAUUUUGAAAGUUAAAUAAAUGAUUUCACUCAAAAUCAAUAUAUUACGAUUAUUAGAUCAUAAUCUGUAAAAUCAUUCACUCGAUCGUUAUAAAUUAUAAGUUCUAAUCAUAUUUAUUCUUUUUAACAUGAUACUUAAAAUUACUCAUAACUUCUCUCAAUUUAUAGAUGCUUCAACACACUCAAACUCACGUCUUCUUACGUUGACAAUAACAAUCACGUCAAGAAAUAAAACUCAACCCACAUGUAACUUGACUCAAUCUAAAUGAUAUUUUCCAAACAUUCAAUUUUAAUAAAAUACAUGAAAAAAUUGUGCCACUUUCACAACAAACAAAUGAUUAACUAAAAAAACACGUUUUGAAAGGUGAAAAAAAACUAAAAAUUAUCAAAUUAUAACACGUUUUAUAAAAUUUGACAAAAAAGAAAACAAAAAGAGAAAAUUAACUAAUAAAAAUUAUUUUUAAAUAAAAUAGAAAUAGAAAAAAUAUAAAUAUUUAGGGUAGUUUUUAACAGUCCACGAGUGAAUUAAAAGUAUGAUGAGUUUUACGUAUAUUUAUGUAUUUUUUUAUUUUUUAUUACAUUCUUACAAGAGUUCUAAUACACUUGUCAAAUCAUCAACAAGCUUGAAGAAUAAUUUUUUAAAAAAUAUUAAUAUAAAAAUUAUAAUAAAAUCACCAAGUCUAUAAAAAAAACUUGAAAAAAAUUAAAUCCACGAGGGGACUCAACUCACGAGUCAAAACCAGUGGCCCAACCCAAAGAAAUAAAUUCCUUCAUACAGCGAAGAAACCAUUUUAAAGUGUAAAAACUCCCUUACGUUUAGCUUUGUUCAUGUCAGGUGACUCUCCAAUGGCUUCUCCAUUAAGGUAAAAACCUUUUCCACAUUCUCAUGCAUGUUAUUUACAUGCAUCAUUUGAUGCACUAGGCUAAUCUGAAAAGGUAAAGCUUUGAACCCUUCUUCUUCUUGCUUGCUUUUUUCUUCUUUUUCCUUUUUUUUUUUUUUUUUGCAAAAUCUAGUGUAUAGCUUAAGCAAUGUUCUUUCUGGGUUUUGGAUAUGAUACUGAGUAUUGAUCAUGAUAAUGUGUUAUCUUAGGUUUUUUUUUUAUUCAUGUUAUUGUUGGUUCACAUUUUAGUUUUUAGUUUCGUUUGACAAAUGAAUUGAACUAUUUUGAUUUAAAGUGUUUGUGAUUCUAUAUGAUUCGCCUUGGGUUUUGAUUUCAUUGCUUAGAAACAAUCUGUUCCAGAGAGGUUUUCUAGGGUUUUCUAGGCCUAAUUUUUCAUUUUUUUCGAUAUAUUUGUAACUGCUUAAUUUAAACCAAGAUUAUACUCUUCUGAAAAAUUAAGGGUAUGGAAGUUUCUUUCUUCCUUUUUUCUUGUCUAGGACUGAAUUUUUCCCUAACAUAAGAACGAUUAAACCUUUGUUACUCGGAAUCAUGAGUGUCAGCUAUGGUUAUGAACUUAUGGUCAGAUUUCUCCGAGUUUCUUUAUGUUUUUGGAGGAUCUUGGAGGCUGUAUCUCUAUAUCUAUGUGUCAGAUACGGAUACUUAAAGAAAAAUGAAGAUUCGGAGCAACAUAGACUGAAACAACUUGAUGAACCUAUGAUGAACUUAGUGAAUUUGCGCAUCUGUUUUGACCCCGAAAUGUCAAAAUCCUGGCUUUUUCGGUUCAUCAGGUAGAUGCUAGUUGAUGCAUUCGGAGUGAUUCCGUAAGGCAUAUGAUAAAGCUUUGGAUUCAUUAAAGAGUUAACCAAACAUCACCUAGUACUACCCUUUCGAAACACAGUUAUCAGUAAUGAACCCAAUGAUGCUUAAUGAUGUGGUAGAUUUCAUUUAUUGGAUAAAAUCUCGAAUUUACAGAAAAGGUUUUGCUUAGAAGAGUAUCUUUUAUUUCCAAAAACAAUUGUUAUGACAAAUAAAAAAGAUUCGCAGUCACAAAAACCAAUCCAGAACAGAAUAUUUGAGGUAAAAGAACUGACGUUACGGAUCAUGAUCGUAACGUAAUUGCUUGUCUUCAUUGCAAAAUUGACUGCUUAUUUGUCUUCUGGCAGGUCUAAAAAUGAAAAUGGUGAAAACAAUGAGCACACAAGUCCCCAGCAACUAGUUCUUGAUGUAGCUCCUCUCAAUUGUGUGCCAUAUGUUGGCCCGACAAAUCCAGAUGAUAAGUCUGUCUCACCUGAAGAGAAUACUGAUGACACAGAAACAAUCGGUCCUGCUAUGAUAUUUCUGCCUUCCGAAACAACCAGUGAGGAUUUGGAUAGUAUCGUGGCUUGUACCAAACAUGGAGUUGCUUUGACUGGGGCUGCAGCAACUGGAACAAUGGGACCGAUCAUAGGGUUAGUGGACAUCGGUGUAUUAGAGGAUUCGUACUAUUUUCGUGUCUCCCUUCCUGGAGUAUCACCGGAUAAAAGUAAGUUUUUCUAGGUUAAUCGCCCUACUCGUGAUCAAAAAAAAAACCUUACCACUCUUGGUUAAGAGAGGAAAGGAUAGUGGCAAAUGGUUCAUGUGAUGCAUAUAAAUCACUGGUCCGCUGUGGAUAUGUACGAUUUUGCCCCAAGUUUUACAUGUAUUCAGAUUUUGGAGGGUCCUUGGAGGAUCACAUCUCAAUACUCAUGUUAAUAUGCAUGAGAUUCAGGAGUUAAGACACCUGUACUUUUAAGAAAAAUAGAGUUGGAACAACAUAAGGUUAAAAUGUAUGUCUGAUCCUGGUAAAAGUAUCAUGGAGGCCCCUGUAUUGAGAGUAAGAUUGCAUUUUGCCCCCUCAAGAAAUGGGCAAAUUAGUCCAUGUAUAUUAGUUCAAAGAGCAUAUUGGUCCUUUUUGUUAAAAUUUUCUUCCAUUUGUACUGUUAAAAACUUGUGUAGCUGAUGGAAUAACCAAAUAGUAAUACGUGACAUGCCACGUGUACAUCAUGCUGACAUAUAUGGAUUGUUUUUAAUAAUAGACAUGGAUGACAAUUUUAACGAAAGCACCAAUUUAUUUUUUGAUUUAACAUAAAUGGGCUAAUUUGCCCAUUUUUUGAGUGAGGGGGCAAAUUGCAAUCCGAUGCCUAGUCCGUGAUACUUUUACUGUCUAAUCCCUUGAAAUAAAAUGAUGUUUUGAUAAUUGAUUUGCACUGCAGUUUUUCACCCAAUGCCAUUAAACCUCUAUUACAAGCCUUAGGGGUUGAGUUAAUGAUUUUACCGCAAAUGAUAACCGUGUUAGUUGAUUUUACGAGUGCAGAAGACUUCAGCUGUGACAUCGAGUCUGAUGGAAAAGUGCUAAUCAAAGGGUUAACAACAACCGGUGAGAAACUUGUAGUCAAGAACUCUCAAGUCUUUCACAUGCUAACACAAAAUCUAUGCCCAUCUGGACACUUCACUGUUUCAUUCGAGCUACCGGGUCCUGUCGAUCCCGAAAAAGUUACUAGCUGUUUAGCUAAUGGAUUGCUUGAAGCCGUUGUGAAGAAAAGGUAACUGAGGAGGCUCAAAGAGCAAUGGUUAUGGCUUUUUCUUCCCCCUGCAUUGGACUUAGUACUAUGCAUAUGCUUUAAGCAUGAGUUUAGAAAAGGUGAAUAUCCAACUUGAUAUUUAAUGAAUCUGCUACUUUUGGAAUCAAUGAAAUAGAUUUGUCUUAUUUUUGAAAUCAAAUAGUUGGUAUUAUAUUUUUUUUUGUUGAAAUAUAAAACAAAAAAUUACAUAAACUUAUUCAUAAACAGAAUGCCUCUAGUACUGUCUCCUUGUAGAGCUUCUUUAAUUGCCUCUAGAAAUUCUUCGAACAUAUGCAAAUAGUCGUCAUCAUCUGUUCGAGCUACUGCCUUAUUAAAUUCUCUAGGGACAUAUUUCAAGAACUACUUUUCUUCAUUUGAUAAAAUCUAUUAAAUUCGUCUAACCAGAGUGGAAUUUAAUCUUUCAAUUUUACUGUCUUCAAUAAUUUUUACAACCUCAAAAUUAUUUUUUUGGAUAACGAACUCAUCAUAAUCUUGUUUAUUAAUCAAUUAAACCAUCCAAAAUGUCCCAAAAUUCCUCAAGGAAAACAGGACACUUCCCGAAGAACCAAUUGAAAAAUCCAUUGAAUGAGCCUGUUGAAUAUUCUCACUUUAAAUUUUCAGAAUCAAACUUACACUCAAGAAUCCAAUCUUUUUCUUUUUUUAUCGAUCUUCUAAAUACAUAAAUUAUACAUAAGGUCACUAAAUUAUUAAAGAAUUUAUUUUUUGGUUAUUUAAUUUUAAAAAGUUACAAAAUAGUUAUUAAAUUAUACGAAAGUUUUUAUGUUAAAUCCAACUAGUGAGCUCUAAGUGACACUUGUUACGGUUUAUCAGUGCCUAUCAGCAAGUAAAAAAUAUAUACUUUAGAUUCAAAUUAAUCUGACAAUCAAUGUCAAAGAUCAAAAAUAAAAAUUGUUCGAAUUUUAAUUUGUAGAUUCAUGACAUUUAAAAUUAUUUCAUAAAAAAAUUUAAAUUAUAAAAGUAAAGAGGAAAGAGAGAUUUCGAUUGACAUAAACGGUGCAAAUAUAUAAGGCUAUAUAAUUGUAAUUUAAACAAUACAACAGCUUAAAUGGAAUUUUUUAAAUAGUUUAAUGAUUAUUUUAUAUUUUUUAAAGUUAAAUAAUUAAAUUAUAAUUUUAUAAAUAAUUUAAUGAUCUUAAUGUAGUUUACCCUUUGUUUCGUCUUCACUGAUGAUGACAGCAUAAAAACCGACAGAGGCAACACAAAUCAAAAAAUUGCCAUACACAAGUCGAAGUUUCGCAAUACAAAAUUAAAAAAUUUCCUAAAAAUUUAUUCUACUAUCAAAAACUGAGACCUCAUUUUGUACCAAAAAUACAAUUUUCAAUCCUCUAAUGCCAAAAAAACAAAAAGAGAAAAGGAAAUGAAAGAAAUAAAUUGAAAAAUUCAACGAACAAUGGAAAGCUUUCCCUCUUAAAAUGUCCAUUUGCUUCUUCUUUUGCCUCUCCUUACGAUCUCCAUCACUGAGGAAGAAGAUGAAGGAACCCUAAUUUCUCUAAUCCAUUUCAUUGCUUCAUUUCCCCUUAAUCCCAAUCCAACAGAAACCCCAACACAACAGACCCCAAAAACCCAAGCUUUAAACCCCCUUCUCCACUCUUUAAUCAAUGCAAACACAAAAAAGAUUAACCCUAAGAUCCCAAAAAGCAUAUCACUACUUAUCUCUUUCCCAAACAACAAGCAAAGAAUACAAGACCCUAAAAUUACUAAGAACCCUAAAAUUUUCUUCCCGUUUCUUCUUCGCAUUGUUGGCUUUUUCCAUCCUUUAAAUCUUACUCCAUUGAAGCCGUUCAAAAACCCAAGCCCUUCUUCAUCUGCAGCAACUAAAUUUUGAACGAUCAGAUCCAACGGUUGAGGUAAGAUCCUGAGAUUCGAAGCCAAAAUUGACAGCAACUCGAGUGCAAGCUUUGUCGAUCUGUCAGACCCCUUUCUUCUUUUGCUUCUUCUUGCGCAAAUAAUUGGUUUUUGGAUCUGGGUUUUGGGUGAAAGCAAAGGAGAAACGGUGAAAAUGGGAGAUUUCCAUGAACAAUUAAAAGCUUGAAGAGAAAUGGUGGAUUCGAGAAAUGGGUUUAAGAAACUAUUGGUUGUGUAGUGAAGGAUUUGGGAUUUGAAUUGAAUGCUCUUCUCCAUUGUUAUUGAAAAUGGAUUGGUGAAAAAAAAACAAAAAAAUAAAAUGAAAUUUUGAAAAAGAAAUGGAACUUAUACCAUUAUUCUUUUAUAUUGAAUUUCGAUUUUUUUUUUCUUUUUGAAAUGAAAGGAGGAACAAUUUUUGGCGGAUGGGCGAUUGAGCUCCAUCGUGAAUUUUUUUCUCCUAUUUUUCAAAUUUUUGUGGCUUAUUGAAGCCCCAUUAUUUGUCUGAUAAUUCAAAAUCAACCCCAGCCCAGCCCAGUUCGAUAGGUUGGAUUAAAUUGGGCAGAUGACCAAUGUUUCUUUAAAUUAGACCGAUGAUGGAAUCAAUUACGUAAUUAGUUCGAUAUUUUAAUCAAACAAUUUCUUAAAAUUUAAAAAAUUUGAAAUAAUAAUUAAACAAUUUGUUUCAAUUGAUUUUUAUUCAGUUUAAUCGAUUCAUAUCGGUUCUCGAAUUAAUUACAAAGUCCUUCCUUAGAUUAAUACCCCAAUCUAUUCUCGGUUUAGUGCAAUUCAAACAACAUUGCAAAUCACAAAUCAGACCAAAAAAACAAACGUUAAUUGGACAACUCCAAAAAUGUGUGAAGAGGACUAGCUCCAAAUCAAGUCGAGGCUUUCUGAAUCAAAUUAGGGAACGAAUUAGUCAGGCCACCAAUUUGUCAAUCCUACAAAUUCAAUGGAUCCAUCCAAUUCGAUUAAAUAAAUCAUUAAAAAUUCAUAAAAUAAAAAAAUAUUAACAAUUCAAUUCAACCUAUUUUUUAUCUAAUCCAACUAAUUUAUAUCGAUUCCUAAAUAAACCGGUUCAAAACCCUCUUUAAACUAAUAUCUUAACUGAUAUUAAAUCCAACUAGUUUUAUCUAUCAAAUUAGUCUUGAUGAAAUAACUUUGGUUGAAAUUGUAAUCAAUAAUUCUCACCAUAUCUAGAUUAGAUGGAGCACAAGAUCUUUAACUGUUUAUGGGUUAUAUUCAUUGAAAGAUAGAAUUAAGAUUACGGAAUAAUCUUAAUAAAAAUUUCCAACAUGAGGAUGGAGUAUAGGAAGAAAUCUUUAAAAUGGAAAUUUUUUUAUUUAAAUCUUUUAAAAUUUUUAAAAUUUUAAAUUAGUAAAAAUAAAUUUAUAUUUUACCUUUUAAAAAUGAUAAAAAUAUAAUUUAAUUUUUUUAAAUUAGAAAAUAUGCUAUUAAAAUGAUAAAAUUAUAUUUUUACUAUCGUAAAAAUUAUAAUUUAAUUUUCAGCAUUCUAAAAAAAAUUCUAACUUCAACAUGAAAAGUACGCAAAUUGUUGAUAUUAGGCUUUUACCCUAGCAAAGUUAUUUAAAUGGGAAUUAUCUCAUGUGUCAUCAAAUACAGUACAAGCUUAUGCGAAAAAUCGUUGAAAACAAACAGCUUGCAGUCAAUUGGAGAAUUUAACCAAUUUUGGAGGACAUUCACAUUUUGAAGGACUUCGAUGCAGUGAUCAGCAACAAGUGAUGAGGCAUUAGAUUGGAUGGUUAGAAAAGCAAAAAGUAACUUCAACAAAAUCUUCGGGAUGAGUCGGGUCGGGUUAAUGUAAAAUUUUAAAUAUUUUUUUAAGUUUGAUUUGAAAGUAUGGCUUAAAAUUUUAUUCUGGUCUGGCUCAAAUUAAAAAUGUUAAACUUGAGCCCGACUCAAUCCGUCUGUAUUAAAAAAAAUUAGAUUAUUAUUUUUAUAUAAAAACAAAUUUUAAAAUAUAAAAUACAUCAAAUACAUUACAACCAUUAAAAAUAUAAGUCAUCUCUGGCGAUGAAUCAAUAAUUCUAAGUGCUAUUCUUCUGUAUUCUUGAUAAACCUGCAUUUAUAUAUAGACGUAGGAGAAUUUAUUUGGGAAGUAAGAAGCCCUUUUGACAUCUCUUCAUCUGCAAAGAAUUAUUGGUGUGAAAACACAGAAAUAAAUUGUUGAUCUUUGAAUAGGAAAAAAAGUGGAUCUGCAGGAUCCCAAAUGAAUUGGCUUAUUCGAAAAAAGCCUUGUUCUUUGGAAGAUCUAUCUCGUGCCUGGUACUAUAUGGUUCUACUCUACAAAAAUGUCGAAUCAUUCUCUUGAAGCUCAUCCUUUUCAUCAUAAAUGAUCCGUUUGUCCCGAAAUGACCGGGCCCAAUAGAGAAAUCCCAAUUCGUUCGGCCUUUCAAUACAAUCAAAUAGAAAGCCUCAAGGGCGCCAUAUCAUAGGAGCCCAAACUAUGUGAUUGAAUAAAUCCUCCUCUAUUUGUUGCAGGUCGAGUACUCCUUCUUCUUCCCUUUCUUCAAACUCCAAUUCGUAUUUUUCAUAAAGAUUUCUCCGAUCGACGAUAGAACAUCCCAACAAAUUGAAAAUAAAUUAAAAAAUAUUUAUACUUAAAUAACAUUAAAAUAGUUGUAAUUUAGCAAGUAAAUACCUCUAAAAUAUUAACAAAAUUAACAAUAAAACAAGAGUUACACAAUAUCCAAACAAUAACAACAAAAUAGUAACAAUAUAAUAACGAAAUGACAGCAAAACAACAAUAAAAAAAAAAGUUUAGACUGAUCCAAACUUGGGCCAAAACAAUCUUACCUGAAGCCCAACCCAUUUAGAAAAUAAACAUUUUUUUAUUCAAACUCAUUUUUAAAUUUAUAUUUUUUUCCAAACUCUCUUCCACCCGUAAUUAGGUUUAACAAUGAUAUAUAUAAUGACUAAUUUAAGGUUGUCGUAAUUACACCAUUUGACAAAUGUAGGGAGAAAAAAGACACAUCAUAUUAUCCAAAUUAAAAUUUUAACAAUAAAAUUGUUUUAUUUAUUUAAAUAAAUAUUAGUAUACAUGUUGGUAUAAAAAUAAAUUUAAAUAUUUUUAUUAUUUUAUUAUUCUUUAAAUAGUCAUAUGGGAUAAUUUGAGUCUAUUCGACACUUAUUGGAAUAGAUUUAAAAUUCGAAAAUUUUAAGAUAAUGACUUGAGCAUAUCUAUGUAUGACCAAAACAAAUAUAGAAAAUUAUAACAUGAAAAAUAAUAUAACUUAGAUACACAUAUAAGAAUGUUUCAAAACUUAUUUUUAUGUACAAUUAUAAAUAUUAAAGUUGCAUUUGUUUUAUUGAAAGCAACUUUCAGAAAACGAUUUUUGAAAAAUUGAUUGAUUUUUUUAAAAAAGCUAAUAUUUUAUUGUGUUUGAACAUUUCUGUGUAAAAUAUUUUUCGUUAUUUGACAAAUUUUCCUGAGAGUUUGUCUUAAUAAACAAAUGCAACAUAAAUAUAUUUGUUACAAAUUAUUAUUGUAACAUUUCUCUUAGAUCGUCAAAAUUAUUUUUUAAUAAUAAAAUGUUUUAUAAUAAUUAAUAUAUUAUAUAAACUUAAUAAUAAACAAUGCCUAAUUAAAAUUUAAUUUAAAUUAUAUAUUACAUAUAUGAGAGUGAAUAGUGGCAUGUUAGAGCUAGAAGGGAUAAACGAAGUUAAACAUGACCUAAACAAAUACUAAUAUUUAUAUAAUUAAAAAUUCAUAUUUUAUAGUAUAAAUAUUUAUUAUUAAAUAUUUAUAAUUAGUAAUGUAUAUUUAUUAUGAAAAAAUAUAAUAUUAAAUAAUUUAUCAAAAAUAAUUAAUUAUAUUAAUAAUUUAUUUUAUUAUUAAAUAUAAAAAAUUAAAUAUGUAUUUUAAUAUUAUUUAAUAUUAUAAUAUUUUGUAUUAAUAAUUUAAAAAUUAAAAUUAAAAUUUAUUAUUAAUAUAAUUGAAUCAGCCUUGAUUCAAAUUUAUUUUUAUAUAAAAAUAAAAAUAUUCCAUUCUAGAAAAUUACUUACAUUUUUUAAAAUGAUAAGUUAAUUUAUAAAAAAAUAGCUUAAUUUUUAUUGACUUAUAAACCAUUUUUCAUUAAUCAAAUGUUUUCCAUUAAACAAAUGAAGGAAAAUGUAGAAAACAUUUUAUUUUACGUAAAACAAAUGCCCACGAUGUAGAUGAAAAUUUUUAUGUAAAAAUUAUAUUUUUAAAAUUUUUAUAUAAAAAUCAAGUGAAACAUUAAUUGAAAUGGUAAUACGAUAAUCUAGGUGUCAUAAUGUCUUCGGUUCAAGUAAAAAUGUCCAUAAGAUAGAUCAGAUUGAGACUUGAUUUGUUCACAAAAUUUUAAGCCUCAAUUAGAGUUGGCUUGUCUAAAAACUUCAUAUUAUUAUUUAAAAAAAAUAAAAUAUAUUUUAUAUUAAAACAUUUUAUGAAACAUUUUUAUAUAAAUUUAGGUUGACAAUGAGCAAAAUCUUUUUAUUCAAACUUAAUCCAAAUUAGAUGAAUUGAACUAAUUCAACCAUAAAUAAUUCUAAUGUUCAAAAUUCAUCAUCAUUCAUGAAUUUUUAAGUCAACUUAAUCAAGUCGACUGAAUCUUAUCUUGAUUGGCAUGAGUGUUGUUGUCAAAUGCAGGAGAAUAUAAGUUCAAGUGUGCUCAAGCACAUUUAUGAGUUGGGAGGGACUAUGGGUUAUUCUAGACAUUAUGUCAAAAAGAAUAAAUAUGAUCGAAACUUAUAAUGAAUUUGUUGAACAAAUAAUUUAUCUAAAACACGAUUAUAAUGCAACAAAAUGUAAUUACACACGAGCACUCAAAUUAAUGGGUUUAUAUAUAUAAGUGUUGCUAUAAGCCAAUAUUUAAAGGGUUGAAGUUUGGUUAAAUUCUGCAAUUAAUAUUUAUAUUUUAUGAAAAUUGUGAAAUAAUUUUUUUAUUUUAACUUGAUUAAUUUUAGUUUUUGUAUGUUCUGGAUUUUGAAAUUUUAGUUUUGACCUAAAUAGUAGUAGUUAAUUUCGUUUCGUUAAAUUUAAUUAUUAGUUCUAUACAAUGCGUACAAUUGUAGAUUUAGUCUACAUUCUCCAAUUUGAUCAUUUUAAGUCCAUAUACUUUUCUAAUUUUAAAAUUUUAGUUUUGACAUAAAAUUAACAUUCGUUAAUUCAUUAAUUGGAUAUUUGGUGAGUAAGAUGUGGAAAUAACAAGUUGACAUAACAUUACACAUAUAAUAAUAUGUUUGUCACAUAAUAUUUUAGAAAUAGCACGACUUAUUGAAUUUAACAUUUAUCGUUUGGUAAUGUCUAGAAUUUUAAAAUUUGAAAAGUAAAUAAACUAAAAAUGACCAAAGUAAAAUACAAUAAUUAAUUUCAUAAAUUUUAUAAAGAAUAGGGUCUAAUAACGUAAUUUAACCUUAAAUUUCAACUUUUUUUUAAUCAAUUAUCGACCAUUUUAACCGAUUCGCUACACUCAUUUCAAUUUAUAAGGAUGAACUGUUGUAUCAACUUUUUUAGUUCUGCCUAUUUAACCAACCGAUCAUAUCUAAUUUUUUAUAGGUUAAUAUGCCAAAAAGGGUAAAUAUAUUUUGGUAACUGAACUUGGCUUCAAAGUUCAAUUUGAUACUUAAGAUUUCUUUUCAUUAGAUAUCUAAACUUGGCCUCAAGGUUCAAUUUGGUAUUUAACUUAAACUUGGCUUUUUAUUUAAAUUUACCUGAACUUGGCUUCAUAUUAAGUUCAGGUGCCAAUUUGAACUAAGAAGCCAAGUUCACAUGCUUAAUUGGACCAAAAUAAACUUUAGGUACCAAAUUAAAUAUUGAAGCCAAAUUCAAAUACUUAAUUGGACAAAAAAAAACCUUAGAUACCAUUUUGAACCUUAAAACUAAAUUCAGAUACCAAAAUAUAUAUUUACUCAAAAAGACUAUUAAAUUAGUGUGAUUUGUUUAAGUAAAGCUCUUAUACAUACUAGAGUAUUAGCCUUUCUCCAAAAGUUUUAAUGAAGAAAAAUAAAAACAAAUUUAAAAGGCUUAUUGAAUUAAAGAAAAUGGACUUGAAUAGAAUGAACUAGUUUAAGGGCAUUUUUAUAAUAUUACCCAUUUUUAAUCACUGAACAAAAUUAUAAUCAAUGUUGAUUUCGAAGUUCCAAUCCCAAGACGUUAUCUUGAAAAUCCCAAAGUCUAAAUUGUUCUAAUAUUUGGUAUUACCUUAAAAAAAAUUAUAUAUAAAUUAUUGGACCAACGUAUAAGAUUUUUCAAAGCAACACAAUAUUGACCAUGAUUUGGAUAUUUCAUAAGCUAAAAAUUUAUUUAACAAUUAAUUUAAGACGCCAAUAUUUAAUACAUUUAUUGAAUUUAAAAUAUAUUAAUUAUGCGUAGAUUAAACAUUGAUUAGGUCCCUAUCCUUUCCCCUCCCUCUAAUACUCAAAAAGUCAAAAUCUAAUUUUUGUAUUGUAUUCAUAUAUUUAUUAAUAUAAGAGUUAAUUGCAUCACACGUCCCUAAAUUGUAAUAUUUAUUUUAAAUUAGUUCUCAAUUUUUAAAAUAUUCUAUCAAUAAGAUCCUUCCAUUACUAAAAUCAUUAAUUUAGUGGUUAAAUAAUAUGUCAAAUCUUAUAUAGUAUAGCUUGAAAUGAAUAAUUUAAUAAAAAAAUGAAUUUUGUAAAAAUGGAUGAUAUAAAAAUAUUACUUUUGAGAUUUUCAAAGCUUUUACAAAAGCUUUCUAGCUCACUUUCUCUUUUAUCGAUUUUAUUUUAUUUUUAGUUUUCACUUUUAAAGUUAUACAAUAUGUUUACUUUUCUUUAAUUUUUUAUUUUAAAUCAUGUCAUAUAAGGUUUGACAUGUCAUUAGCGGUUAAAUUAACAGUUUUAUUAAUUGAAAGACUUGAUUAAUAUAACCACUGAUAGUUUGAGGAUUUCACUAGAACGUUUUAAAGUUUAUGGGUCAAUUUAAAACUAGGGUUAUAGUUUGAGGAUGUUUGAUGCUAUUAACUCUUAAUAUAAUAAUUCUUUUGAUAAUUGAGCGAGGAGAAUGGGGUUAGUUGGGAUUAAACUCAAACUUUUAUACUUACAACAUUAUGUUCUCAUCAUUGGAUUAAGAGAUUGUUGGCAAUUAUUAAUAUAGUAAAUUUAUUUAAAAUAUCGCGUGUUCAUAUAAUUUUGACUAAAUUAUAUGAAAAAAAAAUUAUUAGCCAAAUAAGUUGGUUUUUUGAAAUUUUUAAAAAAUAUGUAAUAUUUUGAGAGAGUGUGUGAAAGUAUGUUCAACUGGGCCCAUUUUUCCGUUGACAUAUCAGGAAAGCUCCCCCAUCCAAGCACUUCUAGUUGAGUGUGCUUUCACAUAUUAUCUUAAAAAACAGCCAAUUUCUCUUAAAAAAACAACCUAUUUAGUUUUUUUUUUCAUAUAUGGUCAAUUUAGCCCAUAAUUUUGUAUAACUUAAUAAUUUAUAUUAUAUAAAGUAGAGGCAAAUUUAGGGGGUUGGCAAGGGCCUGCCCCCUAAAAUGUAAAAUUUUUAUUUAAACCCUUAAAAUUUUAAAAAAAUUUAAAUUAGUAAAAGUAAAAUUACUUUUUGGCCCCCUAAAAUUAUAAAAAUUUAAUUUAAUCCUUAAAAAUUAUAAAAAUAUAGACUAUAAAAAUUUAAAUUUUCAUUCGACUCCCUAAAAAUUUGUUCUGGUUUUGCGUCUGAUAUAAAGUUUAAUUUUUUUGGUCUCUUUAUAUUAGUUUUAAUAAUUUUUUUUGCAUUGUGAACAAUAUAAAAGAGUAAUGAUCAAGUGUUUAUUGGCAUCUCGAUUUAAACACUGUCAUUGUCAACCUCUUGUCAUUAGUAAAUUAUACAAAAAAUAAUUUGUUUACGUUGUUGCUACCAUGUCCACUAUUAUCAGCUCUUGCGAAAAAUGGCAACUUAUAUUUAAUUUAAAAAACACUAUAUUAAUAAUUAAAUAUAAAAUAAUAAUAAUGUAACUGGUUUUAACUGACUAAUUUGAAUCACAUGAAAUUAAACGUUGUUUUUUUAAUUAUUUUUUUAAAGGGUGCAAACAUUGAAUUAUGUUCAAAACUGACUUGGACUGUGGACUUAUUUCAGUGAUAUCAUGGGUUGAUUUUUUUUUCCCUCCAAAUAUUAAUAUUAAAAAAAUAGUAAAAUUUUCAUUCAUUUCCCAAGGGAUUUUCAAACACGUGCAUUAAAAAGCAACAAAAAAAUAAAGGAAAAAAAUAAAUCUGAAAAGUAUACAUAAAUAUAGGUUUAAUACGUAAUAUUAGAUAUUAAUUUUAUUUUGGUGUAAUUAUAUAUAUAAUUUUGAUUUUGAUUUAAUUUUUGUAUUUAUUAACACCGUUAUUUAUGUGGCGUUAUUUUUCUUUUAUGUUAUAUGGAAAUUUUUAAUAUGACAUUUUAUUAAAUUAAAACGCAAAUGAAUAAAUUUAAACUAUAUUUUCAUGUAGAUUUUAAAUAUGCAUUUUUUUAAUCUUGAAAAUACAUGUUUAUUACUAUGAAAAUGGAAAAUAAUUUAAAUUUAUAUGAAAAAUAAUUAAAAUUAUUUUUAGAAACAAAAACAACAUAAUUUAAAUUUACAUGGAAGCAUUAAAAUUUAUUAUUUCAUUUUUUAGCUUAAUAAAGUUAAUAAUCGAUUUUCACAUAAUUUACAAGAAAAAUCGUGUCGCAUAGAAUAAGUUGUUAGUGUUAUGUGAAACUAAAUAAAAAAAAAACUAAAAUCUUAUGUUUAGAAUAUCAAAUUUAAGUUCGUAUAUAAUAUUAUACAUUAAAUUAAAAUUCAUUUAUAAUUUUAUAUUAAUUCUAUAAAAAGUAAAUUACUGACCAAGUGGUUUGGAAUCUUCAUAAGUAUAUAAUAAUUAUUUUAAAAAGCAUCUCAUCUCAAAAUUUAAAAAAAUUAGUUCUAACUUUUAGUAAAAUAAAAAUAAUAAAAUUUAAUUAAGAUGUUAUUUUAAUAAAAUGUUUAAAUUUUAUAAAAUAUUUAAAAAUUAUUAAAUGAAAAUAAAUUUUAAUAAAAUAGAAUCACAUUAAUAAAUUUUACUAAAAAUAAGAUUCAAUUUCAUUAAUUAAUAUUAUUGAUUUAAUAUAAUACUUAGUUUUAAUUUUCUUUAAAAAAUUCAAAUAUAAUAUUAAUCUCGACCGCUAUUAUAGGUGUCACGUAUUUGAUAUAAGUAUGUAACAAUUAUCUUUCAAUUACAUCAAAAUUUUGACAGGUAAAUGGACUCUUAUAGAGUGGUUGAUUGUAUAAAACAUUGUUUGGGGUCCGGUCAUUUUCCCAUGAUUUUUGGAGCCAAACUAGUUAGACUAGAAAUUGGUCGGGAUAUCGAUUCGAAAUAAGAGAUUGAGUCAAUUGACCCGUGAAUUAGUAUGGACAAAUUAAAUUGAAUUUUUUGAAUUUUAUAAAAUUUUAAUCGAAUAAAUCAAAUUUAUCAAAUUGAUAAAUUAAUGGCUUGACUAAACCCACCACGAAUUUAUUUUAAAAAACGUUGCCUUUCCCAUCGUCCUAUAUUCAAGAUCUAAUAUUUCAUGUAUUUGUAAUAUGUAGAUGAAUUUUUUCGUACGAUAAUUAUAUUUAAAAUAUUUUAUAUUUAUAUUAUAUGAAAUUUAACAUUUUCAUAUAUUUGUAUCACGUUUUAAUAAUUUUUUCAAGUUGUUUCAUAUGACCAAUACUAUUAUCUUCGAUAAAAGAAAAAAAUGAGGAUUUUUUUAAUUUAUUAAUUAAAUAUAAAAAUAAUAAUUUUUAAAUAAAAAAUAAUAAUAAUUAAAACGUUUUUAAGUGACUAAAUUGAAUCGUAUGAAAUAAAACGUUGAUUUUUAUUAUAUAAUUUUUGGGGGUAGGUGGCUGUUAUGAACAUGCCAACAUUGAAUCAUGUUUAAAAUUGGACUUGACUGUGGAAUGUGGACUUAUUUUAGUGAUAUCAUGGGUUGGGUUUUUUCCCCUCAAAAUACUAAUAUUAAUAUUUUUAGAAACUUGUUCUUUUAUCUCUCAAUGGACUUUCAAGCACGUGCAUUACAGAUGCAAUAAGAAUUUGGUAAAAAUCAUCUCCAGUCCCUCUUAAUUUUGAUAUUAAGCAUAUUGGUCACUUUCAAAAAAAUUAAAGCAAAUUAAUUAUUGUUGAUUUCGAAAGUGAACAAUUGAUCACAACAUUAAUAUUUUUCGUCAAUUAUACAUGAUUUUAAUUGGUAUAAUAACAAAUUAAGCCAUUAAUAAUUUCAUAUUUUAUCAAUUUGAUCUUAGUUAUAAAAAAUUAUCUAAAAAGUUUAAAAUUUUCAAAAAAAUAAAUAACUUUGAAUAUAUAUACUAACAAAUAAUAUGUGUAAAUUUUGAGGGCUAAAAUUGUUAUUAUACCAAUUAAAAUUUUGUACAAUUGACUAAAAACAUUAUUGAUGUAUUAAUUGUUCUUAGUUACUCACUUUUGAAAUUGAUGGUGGCUAAAUUGCUUUGAUUUUUUUAGAAGGAGCAAUUUGCUUAAUAUUGAAAUUAAGAGUAACCAAAGAGGACCUUUUUACCAAAAAAAUUUGUUAAAUAUGCUUCAAGUUUACGUACUCUUCUUACAUUUAGAAUUUAAUUUAGUCUAUUAAAUUAUUAAAUUUUUUGAUUAAAUUGAAGUUCAUUAUAAUGUAAUAUUUUUAUUACAUAACUACUAGAUGAGUGCUUUUUUUUUUAAAUAUCACAUUAGUGGAUUUAACAAAAGAAAUUUAACGAUGUUAACGAUCAGACUUGAAUUUUGAAAUCUAAAAACACAGAUAUUGAAAUCCUGAAAAAAAAAGGGUUAAAUUCUGAAUACGUAAAGAGUAUAGGGGUUUAGUGAAUAUUCUAUUUUAUUUUUUAAUUUUAGUAUUUACAAUGUUAGAAAUCCUACAGAAUACUUUUCUUUUUUGGUAAAAAAUCCUAUAGAAUAUUAAAACUCAAUGUUAACCAGUUUUAUACGUAAAAAAGUAAAUUUUUAUUUAAUAUCUUAUUUUUUUCUUAAAUUUAAGAAAAUAACAUAAAAAGAUACACAAAAUCAUAAAUUUACCUCUAAAAAUUUUACAAUUGUUUUGAAAAUAAAACAAGAAUUAUUCAACUUUUUUGUAUCAUUUUUCCUUAACAAUAAUCCAUGGAAUUAUUGAAGAGAAUUUCUAGAAUUUAUAGGACAAACUUUGGUAAUAAUGGUAAUUUUUAAUCCAAUCUUUGCAAAAUUCAUGGAAAAAAAAACCAUUUUUACUUUCUUUAUUUGUAGUUUUUUUUUCCUGGUUUCGAUUUGUCCCACUAACUAAUUAUUUUUCUUCAAAUACUGAAAAAAAAAUUAUAUUUCCGUUCCAUUUCAAGAAAAUACUUCGUAAAUACUAGAGUUUUAAGCUUUGAUAAAAAAUAUUUAAAAUAUUUAUUUUUUAGAAAGUAGUUUUUAUUUAAAUUUCUAAAUAAAGAGCGAGAUGAAUACACUAUUUUAAAAAAUAAAAAUAAAAACACCUUUGUUAAUAGUUUUUGGGUAAACUGCCUAGCUGAUCACCCAAGUUUUAGGGUAUUUUCAUUUUAGUCAUAAAACGUUAAAUCUCUAAUUGCAGUAAACUAUACAUGCCAUAUCAUCUCUAUGCUUUCAUUUUGAUCAACCCUGGACCCUAAACUCAAAAAAUAUUUUUUAAAGUAUUGAUUGGGGUAAAAGAAUAAGGAUUAAAGUGAAAAGUGGUAGAAACUAAAAUAGUAAACAAAUUUUGUCAAAUUGUAUUUGUUUAGUUGUUUAUCCAUUUUAGUCCUUGAACUUGAAUUCUGUCAAGGUUUGGUGAUGUGAUCUGUGUUAUUGGAACAUAACUAGAAUGACUGGAUUGAGAAUUGAUUGAUAUAAUGAUCUGAACAAAAGGGUUGAACUUAUUAACUCAUAAAUUGCUUGAAAUUCGAAAAGCAGGAUAAAGAUCAAUAGUUCAACAGAUGGGAUGUUAAAUAAAUUUUUUAAUAAAAUUUUAAUUAUUGUUCGUUUGACAAUUGAACUGGCCGAAUCAGGAACUGGUGGUCUGACUUAUUCAAUCACCGAUCUGGUUAUUAAAACACUAAAUCUGACAUAUUGAAAUUAUACCACAUUAUCAACUGAAAAUUUAUAUGAUUUUUAAGUGAUGAUGUGCCAAUCAUCAAACUUUUACAUUUUUUCAAGUUAAAGGAUCAAAUGUACCUAGUUGUCAAGUUGUCAAGUUAAAGUGUCAAAGUAGAUAAAAAAAGUACAGGUAUCAAAAUGAAUCUACUUGCCAAGUUCAGGGGCCAAAAAUUAUAUUAUCCCAUUAUUAAUACAAAGAAGAAAUAUCCCAAAACGGAAAGUUGAGAAUCACGCGCAAGCUAGUCGAGUGGGCAUGGCAUCAAUCUUUAAGUGAUAAAAAAAAUUGGGAAUAGAACAAACUAACCAAAUAAGAACAGGAAUUUAGGUUGAUUUAAAUGGCGCGUAAAGUCCCAUUUCUUUUUAACUCAGUUUUCUCCGCCCCCACCAAAUCCAGCUUCCUCUGACGGCGGCGUUAUUUAAACGCCCUCCUCGUCUUAAGCCCACUGCGUCGACUAGAUCCUUCGUUUCAUUCUCACUCACGGAUCCAACCUUCGACACCAAUUUUGCUCCCAAAUUGUAACUCAAAUCAUCAACUAAAAAAUUCAAAUUUAACAUUUUUUUAAUUUUAAAAAAUGGAGGUAACUGCCAGAGCUCCAGGGAAGAUCAUUCUCGCCGGUGAACAUGCUGUGGUUCAUGGAUAUACUGCCGUUGCUUCCUCCAUUGAUCUCUACACUGUUGUCUCUCUUCGUCUUCGUUCUGGUAUCUUUCUGUUUCUCUUCUUCCAUUCAUUUAAUUGUUAUGUAUUUUUUUUAAAAUGGUGAUUUUCGGGUUGAAUUUUAUGAAAUGAAAGUUAUUUUGAGUUGGGUUGUUCUUAGAUUGUGUAAAAUGUUUUGGUAGUUUCCUUGUUUAGCCUAUAUGGAGUUAUAUUCCAGUUUUCCAAGCCUUUUUUUUUGUAUGAAUUUGUUGCUCAAAUUUUUUGUUUUUGGUGUUUUAUAGGUUGGAAUUUGAUGUUAUUUUAAAUUUUUUUUGAUUGGGUUAGCCGUUAUUUGGAAGAUUAUGUAGGUUCAGCAAAAUUUUGAAGUCAUCAGCAUUAUUUGCCUUUCUUGAAGUUUUGUUUGCUUCAAGUAUUUUUUAGUUCUUAUAUUUUGAGCAAACUAUGUUGGAACAAAGUUUCUGAGAUUGAGAUGUGAUUAUGGUCUGCUUUUAAUGAGGAAAAAGAGAUUCAUUUUUGUAGAUAUUGGUUUUUAUCUUUUGAACAAUCUAAGUAUCUCGAGACAAGGUUUCCGAGAUUGAACUCAUUAUGAGGAUCCUAUAAAUUGGAUUUAAUGAUUUGUUUUGGGGAAUCGAUCGUGCGAAGAUAUGUUUGUCUUUUUGUGAAUUUUGCUUUGGAUGUGUUUGUUGGCCAUUUUUAUCUUUCAACAAAACUAAAUAUUCAGGAAAAGUGAUUCUGAGAUCGCUUUGAUUAUAUUUUGCUUUUAAUGAGUUACGGAUUUUUGAUGGUUUUUUUUUGGAAGACAAUCGUGCAAAGGUAUGUUUGAUUUUUGCAUAUGUUGCUUUGAAAGGUGUGUUUGUUGGUGCUUAUCUAUGAAUCGACCAAGUAUUUGUGAACAAAGUUUCGGUGAUCGAGCUGAUUAUAGUUUUCUUUUAAUAACGAUCCAUUAAAUCAGAUUUGGUGGUUUGUUUUCUGCUAAUGUUUCUUUGGAUGUGUUUACUGACUCUUAUCUUUUGAGAAAACUAAGUAUGUGGAAAUGAUGUUUCCAAGAUUGAGCUGAUCUAACACACCGGAUUUGAUAAAUUUCAAAGUGUGCUGUUUAUUUUAUGGGGCGUGUCAAGCUUGUGGGAAACAGACAAUCUUUGUGAACUUUCUAGUUUGAUAAGUGCUUAUAGUUGGCUGCUAACUUACUCAUUUGCAUGAACUAAUCUGCAAAUGGUCCCCUCUUGCCUUUUCCGGUAUUUACUAAUAAUAUUAAUGUGUUUUUGGUAAAUGUUGCUAGGAGUUUAAAAACCAUAAGUUCCAGUGCAUGAGUAGAACUAAAAAACAUUCUCAUUUACGAUAUUUCCUUCUUUGAUCACCUACAAUCAAACUAUAAGUCAAUAAUGACACGCUGUCAAGCUUUGAUCGAAGUAUCCUCUCUUGAAUUUUUGUAAGUUGAAAUUUGAUUUUGUCAUAACAAUUCUUGGUCAAUUGAUUCAUUUUGGUUUCUUAUUUGUAUAAUCUUUGGCACUUUGAUAAGGUCCGUAACAUUGUCUUGCAAUCUAAUAUUUGUAUCUUUGUUUCAUUUUGUUAUAUUUGUUUUUUUCCAUAGAAGACGAAGAUACAGUAAAACUUAAGCUCAAUGACAUUGGAUUAGACUUUUCAUGGUCAGUCGGAAGAAUCAAGGAAGUGCUAUCUCACUUAGGUUCUCCAUUUUCUUCGACACCCACAUCAUGCUCAUUGGAGACCAUUAAAUCUCUCGCCACUCUUGUUGAUGAGCAAAGUUUCCCCGAGACAAAGAUUGGACUUGCUUCUGGGGUUUAUGCGUUUCUUUGGUUGUACACCUCUAUAUUAGGGUAUGUAUCCAGUUAUGGCUUUUUAUUUUAACUCAAAUUUUCUUCUUGAUGAUCUAGUUUCUGACAUAUUGACUCAAUGAGCCAGGUUUAAGCCGGCUACAGUCACCGUUUCUUCUGAACUUCCUGUGGGUGCCGGUCUGGGUUCAUCGGCUGCAUAUUGUGUUUCACUCUCAGCAGCUCUAUUAGCUCUUUCAGAUUCCGUGAAAUUGGACGUAAGCCAAAAAGGAUGGUCUACGUUUAAGGAGACUGAGGCUGAAUUGGUGAAUAAGUGGGCUUUCGAAGGGGAGAAGAUAAUUCACGGAAGACCCUCUGGAGUUGACAACUCAGUUAGCACAUUUGGUAUCCAACUUGUUUAAAAAAACUCACUAAAUACUUUUUCUGCCUUCAAAUUCUUUUAACAAUUAAUUUGUGGUCCCUCUAUCAUAUGCAUCACUAUCCUGGACCAACUACGAUCAGAACAAAUUUUAAUUUUAGACCAAAUUUGGUAACAUCGGUAAUCUAAAAGGAAAGGUUGGAUAGAGUGAAGACCGAUUUAUAGUAGCCUAAGCAAGUUGUGCUAUAUUACCUCAUAAAUGCAUGAUAUGUUUAUCAAUAUCUAUGUGAUUUAAGUAAUUUAUGGUUUCCAUGGAACAGGAAAUGUGAUCAAAUUCAAAUCUGGUGUUAUGACCCGCGUCGAUUCCAAUAUGCCACUGAAAAUGCUCAUUACCAACACAAAAGUCGGGAGGGAUACAAAGGCUUUGGUUGCUAAUGUUUCGGCAAGGAAAUCAAGGCAUCCUGAUGCCAUGUGUUCCGUGUUAAAUGCUAUUGAAGCCAUCAGUGAUGAAUGGUCUACCAUCAUCCAGUCGCAUGCUGUGGAUGAUCUAUAUUUAUCUGCCAAUGAAGAGAAGCUCGGAGAAUUAAUGGAAAUGAAUCAGGGUUUGCUCCUCUCUAUAGGUGUUAGCCAUGCAUCGAUAGAAAAUGUUCUUCAGACAUCAAUGAAGUAUAAGCUAGCUUCCAAGCUGACCGGAGCUGGUGGCGGAGGUUGCGUGCUAACACUCUUGCCAACCCGUAUCCUCUUUACUGUUCUUUUAAAUUUGUUUAUUUAUGCCUCUGCCAAUUCUUUCAUUACUUAUGACUGAAGGUUUUGAUGAGAUAAACGAGUUUGAAUUCGUUGCAAUAAAAUGCUUUCCCUUGCGUCUCUCUGCCCGUAGAAAUGAACAUUUUGAUCUUGUUCCCCACGUAAAGGGGCAGAGGCUAGGAUAGGGUUUGACAAGAAACUACUUCUCAGAUAUUGACUUUGAUCCGUUUUUGUUUAUAGUUUCAUCAGUAGUUUGCUGCUUUCUGUCACUUGUUCCCUUGAUGACAUGAAUCAGAUAUAUCAGGAGAAGUCAUCAAUAAGCUAGUGGAAGAGCUCGGAUCAUUCGGUUUCCAGUGUUUCUCAGCCGGAAUUGGUGGUAAAGGUGUUCAAAUUUCCUUUGAUCAUUCUUCCUAAUUUUCCGUCCCCAUAUUUUAGUCGUAAUAAGACUCUCUUCGAAUAACAACAUGAAGCACAUUAUAUCGAUGUUAUAGUUAUUUCCCUUCCCUUUCGUUUUCUGUACACUUCACUUUCGGAUUAGCCGUUUUCUAGUUAAACCAGAACGAAGAAAAACUACUGCUACAGAAAACAAUGUUGUAGCUGUUUCUAUUCUCCUUUGUACAUUAGUUUACUGCAUCAGUUUGUGUUGUCUUUGCUGUUGAAAGUUAAAAAGUCAAUGAGGUUUUAACUUUUAGCCAUUAUAACAUCAAUGCUUUUCUAUACAUUUUUUUUUUCUUUAGAUGUAGGAAAGUUUGUUGGAUGUUAUGGUUGAAGAGUUAUGUUACUUGGAUACGAGUGUGAGUGGGCGUGGAUAGAGUUGAUAGUCGGUCUGGCAUUUGUAUAUUUUAUAAUAUUAAAAAAUAAAUCAGAAUAUGUUUAGAUAACGAAUGUAAUUAGUGGAUUCCAUUCAAUUGAGUGUAAUUGAAGCACUUCAAAUACACUUUCUAAGUAAGAUUUGGGAUAGAGUGUCUUUCGAUAUUACAGAGUAAUUAGAUGAAAAUGUAAUUAUUAAUGUAGUAAUUGCACCAUGUUAUAAUUAUAAUAUAUGUGUGAUUAAUAGAGUGUAAUUACAUUGUAAUUCUUUAUGUUAUGUUUGACUGUAUAAGUUGGAUUUACACACUUAUAUAAAUUUAAAUUCCCAAAAAAAUUAAAUAUUAUAAAAAUUAUCAAUAAUAUUAAAAAAAAAAGUCUAAACAAGCAACAAAACUUAAAAGUAAAAUUAUUAUAAAUAACAUCUUAGUCCAAGAAAGUAUAUGAAAAUAUGAGUACUGAAAAAAAAAUUCUAUACAAUUUUAUCUGUAUAUUCUAGUAUUUCGUACUUGUUAGAUUGUUUUUUGACGUUAAAUAUAUACUCUUUGUUAUUAUCAAAUGAUAGUUUACCAAGUAUAAGUAAUUAAUAAUAAAUAUUUUUUAAUAAAACUAUAAUUUAUAUUAAUAAUUAUAAUCUGCAUGAAAGCACGAGUUUAGAUAAGCUUUUGAAUCGACGUGAAUAUUCUCGCCAUUUUUUAUAUUACUAAAUUGGUAUUUUAUAAAAUAUAAUUAUUAUUAUUAUUUUUAAAUAAUAAAAUUUUUAUUCAACUAUAUAAACGAGAUAAAGUUGAAAUUAAAGUAUUAAGAAUAAUUUACAUUAAUUAAUUAUUAAUAAUAGAUAAAAUUAAUAAAUUCUGAAAUUUUUUUAAAAAGUUUUACUUAAAAAAUAUAAUAAAAUAUUAGUUAAUAAAAAAUCAAAUUUAUAAAAUCAUCAAAUAUUUUUAGAUAAAUUAAAAAAAUAAAAAUAUUAUUAUAAAAUAAAGAGAGAUGGGUAGAAUAAAUAACAAAUAAAAUAUGAAAGCAAUAGAGAAUUUACUUUAUUGAUCAAAAGGGACCAUUACAAUACUUCAUCAGAGUCAGUAUUUAUUUAUAGGCAUAAGAAGUAUAAUAGAAGUAGAGAUCUAAUUCUAAUAACUAUUAGAAUUUAAAGUAUAUUCAAACUUUAUCUUGAUCAUGACGGACAUCCACUUAAUAAGAUAUUCAUAACAAAUAUAAUAUUUUUAUAAUUAAAAUUUUUAUUAAAUAAAUAUAAAUUUUAUCUAUAAAUAUUAUUUUAUUUUAAUAUAAUAAUUAAAUAAUUUUAAAUUAAUUUUCAUAAUUAAUAAAAAUUAAAUUCAUGAAAUUAGCAUUAUAUUUCGGAAAAAAAAAUAUAAUAUUAAUUUUCUUUUAACUUUUAAGCUAAUUUUGGAAAGUUUUGGGGAACUUUGAGAAAAGAAAUCAAUGGGUUUUUAACCAUGCAAAUCUUUAGAAGAGUUAUAACAAUUUUUUUAAGAAUUAAAGUGGUAGUUGAUUUGACUAAUAUGAUUAGUUUAAAAUAAAUGAAUAAUUAAAAUAUAAAAUUUAAUUCAAUUGGUUUUUUUGUUGAAUUCAAUUAAUCCAUAUUGAUUUGUGAAUGAUCUGACUUUUUUACAUUUCUUCGAAUAGAUACUUUAAUCAGUUCUCAAUUUACGUCGUCUGAUUUAGUUCAAACAAUAUUGAUUUUAAUAAGAUUAAUUUUUACUCCUUCUGUCCCAAUAAAAAUAUCGGAGUUAGCUUUUUUUAGUUAAUUUUUUUAAACUUUGACUUAUAAUAUUUUAAAUAUUUUAAUAAAUUAAAUUUUAUGAAUUACUUAAAAAUUACUUCAUUGAAAUUUUUCAAGUUAUAUUUUUUUCAAAAUUUUAUCAAAAUUAAUAAAAAGUCAAAGUUGAAAAGAUUUUCCUUCAAAAAGUCAAAAUGGGACAACUUUACUGGGCGGAGGUAAUAAUGUAAUUUGAUGAAUUUAGAAUUUAGUUUAAACGACAAUUAAUUAGGUUGGAUUUGAGAUUAAUAUAAAAAUUUUAAUUUAGUAAAUCUAGAUCGAUUACAUAAUAAGCUUGGGCUAAUAAAAGUGUUACAAAAUGGUGUAAUUUUAGGAUAGGCAUUGUAAUGUAAGGGUGCAAACUCAUUUUUCAAGCGUAAUUAUACUUUCGAAUGUAAAUUAAUAAGAUAGAUUUAAGUUUAUUCGUUUAGAAUUCUUUUAACUCUCAAAUUUAAAAUGAUUCGUGUUUAAUAUGUCAAGAUACUCGCUCGAUAUAUUAUAACAACUAUUAUUGAAAUUGAUGAGCGUUAAGACCUUAUGUCUAGAAGCAUUCUUGAGUGACUUGAAAAGCUUGGGGCGAUUGCGGUCCAACUAUAAUUGGUUAUCUCUGAUUUUCUUUAUUUGCAGAUUAAAGGGUCAAAAAAAUUAUAAGUGAAAAAUAACAAAAUUAAUUCAGUCUUUAUAAACAAAAGAAAAUACACUCAAUUUAGCCUCAAUGACCUAAAAUUCAAUUGACCCCUUCCAUAAAUUCAAACCAUCGAUUAAUCAAUUUGACUGUUAAUUGUGUUGAUGGAAGCUACCAGAAGCUACCACCACAUCAGCAAAAAUUAAAAAAAUAAAUUAAUAAAAAUGUGCAUGGAAUGAAUUUGAAUUAUUAAUAAUUUUUAAAUUUUUUUAAGUUUCACAUUCAUCUAGAAUGAAUUUGGAGAAAUGAUUGUCUAGGUUCAAAUGAAUUUGGACAACCAUUUAUCUAGAUUUUUUUUCAAAUGCACAUUAUUAUUAUUAUUAUUAUUAUUAUUAUUAUUAUUUUGCAAACAUGGCAUAUCACGUUAGCAUGCUGCCAUGUGGUCGUUUCUUGUGGCUUCUGUCAUCUAUGUUGGUGUGGCUACUGGUCAAAUCGGUUAAUUGACAAUGUCGAAACCAUUUUUUUGAAAACGGGGUCGACUUGGAUUUUGAAAAUGCAAACGAAAAAACGGGAGUCGACACCAAUCCUUUUUAAUGAGGUGUGAUCGGGUCACCUUGUAAAAGUGGUUGUUUUUAAUAAAUGAUUUGAUUUAUUUAAACAACGAUUUUGGUCCGCGAAAUUUAGAAAAACGGGUUCAGGAGUCGGUUACGUACAAGGAAGGAUUAGCACCCUCGUAACGCCCAAAAAUUGGUACCUAGUUGAUUAAUUACUGUCUUAGUAUCGAAAAUUAAAAACUUGGAAGACUUUAAAAUACAAUCCCUCUUUUUGUAAAAACACUCGAAUGUUAAUGACCUUUUCAUCUCAAAGUAAUAAAAUGUCACAUCCAGUAAGUUAGGACACGACAUCUCGAAAUUUUGAGAAUGAGCUUGCCUUUUAUUUUAAAUUCGUGUAUUUUAACCCCUUUUUAAAAGGAUAUUCGGUUAGUUAGGGUAAACGAGGAAAAUCGAAACCCAGUAAGUUAAGACACGUUUUCUCGAAUUUCCAAACACCGAAUAUUGCCUUUACCUGUGAAAAUUCUUAAAGUUAGGGCACAACACCUAGUAUUUCUGAGAAUAAACAUUUUUUUCAAAACUCGUAUUGCGAUUUAAAAGAAUAUUCCGUUAUUUAGGUUAAAUGAGAAAAAACGAAACCCAGUAAGUUAGGGCGCGAUUUUCUCGAAAUCCCAAAUACGGGAUAUCCUUUUUUAUGAAAAAGUCAUUUUCACCGGGUAAAGGUUAAUACAACAUAAGUUUAUAAUAAUAAGAUAAAUAAGUCAUAAACGAAUAUAAAUUUCGAUAUUGACAGGCAUGACAGAAGGAGCACAGAGGCGAAUGUGAAUGAUAACGAUGGUAAGAGUAUAAAUAAAAUAAAUGAGUAAAACGAAUAAAAGGGAAAUAAUGAAUAAGCUAAGAAAUAUUUGAAAUUAAAAAGAGUUAGUAGCAGAUAAAUAAAAAUUAUGUAAAACUAUUUAAAAAAAUGAUAGUAAAGUAAUAAUAAUGAUAAUAAUAUUAAUAGUAAUAACACAAGUAAUAAAUAUUUUAAAGUUUGGAAUGAUAUGAAAAUGUAUAUAUGUAUGUGUAUAUAUAAAUAAAUAACGUGUAAUGUGAGUGAUGAAUAAAAAUAAAAGAGUGUAUUUGAAGAGUAAUAGAUAAAAAUAGUAUAGUAAUGAUAAUAUGAUAGUAAUAAUAACAAUAUAGUAAUAGUAGUAGUAAUAGUGAUAGUAAUAAAAAUAAUAGUAAUAAAGAUAGUACUAAUAAUAAUAAUAAUAAUAAUUAAAAUAAUCAUAAUAUAAAAUUUGAAAAAGUAUAUAUAUAAAAAAUAUACAUAAGUAAAUAAAUAAUGAAAUACCAAUAAUAAUAAAAAUAAACAAACCAAAGAUUAAAAAAGAUAAUUAGAUAGAGAAACAUAUAAAACAAAAAAGGUUAAAAAUUGAAAAUAAAAUAAAACAAAUAAUAAAUGGUAAAACAUAAUAAUAAUAAUAUGAAUAAUAAUAACGAUAAUAAAUAAUAGCAAGAAUAAUAAUAGUAAUGAUAACAGAAGAUAAUAAUAGUACUAUAAUAAAUAAUAAUAAUAGAUUAAAUUAAUUAAUUUAAUUAAAAUAUUGAAAAUAACAAAAAAAUGACUAAAUUGAACCUAAAAUGAAAGUUCGGGGCCAAUUCGGAAUAAAACAAUAGUAAAAGGGCCAAUUUGAACGCACAAAUAAUAAGGAGGGACUAAAGGAGAAAAUAUCCCUUCCCUCCUAAACGCAGCGUUUUACACGUGACCAAAAUGAAUAAAAAACAAAAUUACCAGGCAAAAUUAAAAAUAACGAAAGACUUAAUCAUAAAAUUGUAAAAAAGCGGAAUGGCUAAAUGCACAAAUAGCCCCUUUUCCAAAAACACGCGGAUCCUAGGCGGGUCGGGUCGGAUUUGGGUCGGCCAAGGCAAAACGACGCCAUUUUGGGAUUUAAGGACCCAGGCCAAAACGACGUCGUUUUGGCCCUCUAUUUAAGCAAAUUUUCCUAAAAAAAAUUCAUUUCAACACCCAUUUUUUAAAAAAUGCUCACUUUUAGGCGAUUCAAAACAGGUACGGUCUCCCCCCUUUUUUAUGCAUUUUUUUUAUAUAUAUAUGUAAUCGAAAAUAAAAAGUAUAGUUUCGAUGAAAGAAAAUAAAAGGAAAAAAAAAUGGAACCUUGGCACGUUUGAGUUUGCUUUUUUCUUCAAUGCUUCUUGUGUUUUUCUUUUAAAAUUGUCUACUGCUUGUAUUUUUAAAAUUGCCGAAUCUACAAACUGAUUUUUGCUUGGCUUUUUAAAGCCAUUUUACAUGAUUUUUUAUUAUUAUCUGUCUCUUCUCUAUUUAAUUUGCAGGUGCAAGUAGAGGCAAACUUGGGCGGUGGUGAUGCGACCGUGGCGGUGGGGUAGGUGGUGCUGUAGGUGGUAACAGAGGGCAGUUGGCCAUAGGGGUGGCGGCUAGCUAGUUUUUUAGGGUUUUUUUUUUUGAUAAAUGUAAUGGGCUAGGGUUAGUGAUUUAAUUUUGGGUUUGUUGGGAUAGGUUGAAAUUGGGCCGAGUAAUUUGGGCCUUCUACAAACAAUUUUCAUUAAUGAAAGGACCCAAUUAAUGUUUUUCGGGCCAUUGAUGACUUAAUUGUGUGCACUUUUUUCAUAAGGUCUCAGUUGAUUUUCUGAUUUUUCAUAGAGGACUUUUUUUUUUUGCCUUUUUAGCCCAAUUAAAAUUACAUCGAAGUUUGCCUUUUGCAAUCUCAUCUUAUCUUUUUGAGUUAAUAUAUAUGGAGGUACCUAAUCUCUAUAACUCAUACCUACUUGGUAUUUAAACAUUUUUUUGGACCUAAUUGGUACCUAAACUUAAGAACCGUAAGUCAACUUGAUUUUUUUUAGGUACCAACACCGUUAAAAUAAACUAAUAUGGCAUUGGCGACCAAUAGUAUGGUGACAUGUGGUAACUUCACAUUUUAACUCAUGGCAAAAUAGAAGAUUAUAAUUUUUUAAUAAAAUUUAAACAUUUUUUCUUUUGUAACUUUUUGUCAUGUGCCAAAAUAUAAGGAUGCCACGUGUUACCAUACUAUUAGUCGUCAGAGCCAUGCUAACGUAUUUUAAUGGUGUUAGUCAAGUGAAUUAUAUUAUUAAUAAAUUAAAAUUAGAGUAAUAAUUUAUUAAUAUUAUCAUGUUGAUAAUAGUAAAAGUAAUAUUAAUUAAUAUAAUAGUUUAUUAUUGUGAAAUUAAUUAACUUGGUCAUAUAUCUUUAAAAAUUCUUCUUAAAAAAUAAUGUAAUAUAUUAUUAAUUAAAAUUAUAAAUCUAUAAAAUAAUUGAAUAAAUUAAAAAAUAAUAAAAAACCAAGUUUUAAUUAAAUAAAUAUAAUAUAUAUUAUUUUAUUUUAACUAUGAUAAUUAAUGAUGUUAAAAUCAUUUUUAUAAUUAAUAAAAAUUAAAUGUGUGAGAUUAGCAAAAAUAUAUAAAAAAGAUAAUAUUAAUAUAUUGGUAAUCUAACCUAUAAUGUAUGAAAUUAUUUAUUAACGUUCUCGUUGUUAAUUUAAUAAUUAUUAUCAUUUAAUUAGAUUUUGAAUCAAUAUUAAUUUAAAUUUAUUAUUUUAGAUUAAUUCUCACUUAAUUAGUAUUAUAGUUAUAUACAAAUUUAAGUUAAUAUUUACCACUGCAUUUUCGUUCAAAAUAAACAAAAUAAAAUCUAAAAAAUUAUUGAAAUUACCAUGAGUUAUCUCCCACUUUUUUUUCAUUACUUCUAAAAUAUUAUUUUAUUCUCUCAAUUAUUUUUCAAAAAUAAUAUAUUUUUAUUAUAAAUUAGACCAAUUUUUAUUUAAUUAUAAAAAUAUAUUUGUAAUAAUUAUAAAAAUAUAUUAUUUAAAAAAUAAACACAUAAAUAACGUGCAACACAUAUGACAUGGGAACUAGUAUAUAUAAAAGCAUGAUUUGAAAAAAAAAUUAUAUUGAUGAGAAUACAUUUUAUUUUCCAUCAUAUUACUAAAUUCACAUUUAAAAAAUAAAAAAAAUAGAAGUAAAAUAAAAGUUAUGAUAAUUAUGCAUUAAAAAUAAUUAUAAUUUAUUCGAAUUUAAAGUUGUGAGAAAUACACAUUUAAAAAUAAUUAUAAUUUAAUUUACAAUUAAUGGUUUAAAAUGUUAUGCUAAUUUGAAAGUAGAGGUAUUAAUUGAAUUGAAAUCUAAGCAUAAAAUAUAAGAAAAAGUUAAAUGUAAUUUUAGUAAAAAAAAUGGUGAAUAUAUUUUUAAGCCUCUUAAUUAUCACUUAAUUAAUAUUAGAAUAAAAUUUUGAUUAAAUAUUAAACCUGUAAAAUCACAUAUAAAAUAUGUGGCAUUAGAAGCUAGUAAUAAUCAAAAGCAUAUUUUUUUGGCUAUGAAAACAAAACCUAUUAAAAAUGCUGAAAUAUAUUUUUUAGAUACUAUUUGAAUGAAAAUGUAUUGUCAUACAUUUAUUUAUAGUAUUAAAUAUUAUUUUUUAAAUUAAUAUAUAAUUAUAAAUUGUAACAUUAAUCAAAUGAUAAUUAAUCAAAAACAAUAAACGUAUUUUAAUAUGAAUUUAAAGUUUAAUAAAGUGAUAAUAACUGUAACACUAAUAAUGAAAAUAUUAUUAUUCUAUAUUUAUAAUUUGUUAUCGAAAAUGAAUGUAAAACCUAUAUAUUAGUUUUAUAUUAAAUAUUAUGGUAGAAAUAUUAUUAAUAAAAUAUUAUUUUUAUUAUUUUUAUUUUAUAUUAAAUUUAUUGAUUUUAUAGAUAAAAAACAUAACUAACGCAAAAUAAUAAUUUUUAAUGAACUUUUUUUAUGUUAAUCUUUUAAAUAGAUAAAUAAUUUAUCUAAUUAAAUUUUCUUUUAACACAAAAUGCUAUGGGAAAGGAUUGUAUGAAAUAGUGACACCACAUCAUCGGUAUAUCUUUUCUAAUAGUUUAAAUGCCACAAUAACAUUUUCAUCUUGAAAAGAAUUAAAUUCAAAUAAAAAUCCUGAAAUUCAGAAUAAAAUUACUGAUGUGCCAUUAAACUAUUGAAAAAUGAUAAUAUCACUAUCUCAUACAAUCCUUUUUCCCAUAAACAAUAUAUAUAAACAGAACUCGAAUCUAACUGGCAUAAAUAUAAUUAACAAAUAUCAAUGUUGUAUUGAGAUAUAUAGAGAGAGAAAGAGAUGGUUGAAUAUAAAGCUUGUAUUAGAACAAUAUACAUGAACAUAAUUUGUAUGUUUAUUUAUUAUACAAGUUUAUAUUGGUAUUAUUGAAAAAAGAGAUUGAUCUUUAUUCUUUUACAUCUUUAAUAAAAGCACGGUACCACUUUGCAGAAUCCUUAGGUGAGCGAGUGAGAGUUUUGAAGUCAACAUGAUAAAGUCCAUAUCUGACCGUGUAACCUUCACCCCAUUCGAAAGAAUCAACUAAACUAUAAUAGAAAUAUCCUUUGACAUUCACACCAUUUUUUAUUGCAAUUUCGAGUUGACGCAAAUGUUUUUGAACAAAUUCAAUUCUGAUGCGAUCCGUUUGUGACUCGGAGAAUGGCAAGCUGAUGUUGCUUUUUUCCGUAUAACCAUUCUCAGUAAUAUAAAUCGCAAGGUUUUUGCUGUAGUUUUCUCGAAUAAACUCCAAAAGUUUAUAAAGCCCUUCAGGAUAAACGUAAAUAAACAUACUCCCUCCUGCAUUUGGACCGAUAAGGACUCCAUCUUUGUCAAUCGAGACAUUCACAUUUGGAUCUACCAAGUAGCUAACUGGUUCAUUUGGAUUAGGUGGAAUGUUUUUAGCAUAUCUUGAAGUAUAAUAAUUGAUUCCAAUGAAAUCAAAAGAUCCUUUAACAAGCUUCUUUUGUUCUGCAGUGAAAACAGGUAGCCUGUCUUUAACCAAACUUCUCAUGGUUUCUGGGUAUUCUCCAUGCGUUAAUGGUUCCAUAUACCAUCCCAACUCAAAAUCCAUGGCUCUUUUUGCCGCCUCUAUAUCAAGGGAUGUGUUUGUAUAUGGCUCACAGUAAUGAGAAUUAAGGGUUAUUCCAAUUUGUCCUCCUUGUGUUUCCUGGUACUUCUUUUUGUAAAGAUCAGCAGCUGUUGCAUGGGUAAGCAGAAGGUUAUGGGAAACAAUAUAAGGUUCAGUACCUGAAUUACCAUUGACACACAUUUUCCUGUCUGAACAUCUAACCGGUGGAGCCACUCCCAUGGCAUACCCCAUUUUAGCCAUAAUUAGUGGCUCAUUAAUUGUAAUCCAAUAUUUAACUCGAUCUCCGAAUGUUUUAAAACAAAUUUCAGCAUAGUCCUUGAAAUCAUUCACAAUUCUAUUACUUAAGAAGCUUUCAUACUUCUUUUCAAGGGCUUCCGGCGGAUCAAAGUGCAGAAGUGUCACAACAGGCUUGAUGUCAUUUUUAAUCAACUCAUCGAUGAAACUGUUGUAAUGAUCGAUACCCUCUUGAUUUAUUCCACCACUCAAAGUUCCAUCAGGCAAAAUCCUUGUCCAAGCUAUGGAAAAUCUAUAGGAAUUAACGCCGAGGUCUUUCAAAAUCGAUACAUCUUCCUUGUAGCGGUUAUAUGAAUCAGCAGCUACAUCCAAGUUGCUUUUGUCUAUUAUUCUGUCCGGGUAUUCUCGAAUAAAUUGGUCCCAAACACUUGGUCCUUUGCCUCCUAAUUUAGCCGAUCCUUCAGUCUGCGCAGCAGCAGUUGAUGCUCCAAAAAGAAAAUCAUUUGGAAAAUCUGACCUUUUAAUGUUGGAAAGGGAUUCUUGAGUUGAUUCGCCAUUGGAAGACAAGCAAGCAAGCAAAACAAAAACAGAGAUCCUUACCAGACGCUGAGUUACAGAAAUUGACAACAUUCUUAAAAGUUGUAACCUUGCGGUUUCCGCAACACACAAAGUAAACAACAAAACAGAAUUUUGUGCAAGGAUACACGGAAGAAUGGCAUUUUAUGAAUGAGUACCCAUCAAAACUAUCUAACAGAAAACCUAUUUUAAGUAUAGUUCCUAAACCGUGAAUGAGACAAUAUUUCCAAUUAUUUGUUUUAGUUAACUAAUUGUAAAUUGCUAACCAAUUUAUUCCAAAAUAACCUGAUUUACUAUUUAUAUAAAAAUUACUAAUUAACUAACAUAAUAAAAACAAAUUCAACAAAAUCUGAACAUCAUGUGGUGGCCUAAUAGUUAAGGGUGUUUACCGCCCUAGGUGUGGCCAGGGGCAAAGUCAGAGAAAUUUUUUAGGGGAGUCGAAAUGAAAUUUAAUUUUUUAAUAGUCUAUAUCUUUAUAAUUUCUAAAGGAUUAAAUUAAAUUUUUGUAAUUUUAGGAGGGCCAAAGUAUAAAUUUACUUUUAUUAAUUUAAAAUUUUAAAAUUUUCUAAAUGGUUAAAACAAUAAUUUUCCAUUUUAAGGGGCCGGAGCCUCUACUAGCCCCUAAAUUCGCCUCUGAAUAUGGCUUGAGUUCUAAUUGCGUUGAUUGUUCAGGCUUUCACCUAUUAUUAUAAUUAAAAAAAAGCGAAAUCUCUUUUAGAAUUUGCCAACAAUUUGUACCAAAAUCAUUAAACCAACUAAAUUCAUCCACUCUUCAAAUUCAAUCUAAUUAUGUAAUCAAAUGUUUUCUUUCUUUUCCUUUUUUUUUUAAUUUAAAAGGCUUAAUUAAUGAUUUGGUCCUUCAAAUAUACUUAAAAUUUCACUUUCGUACUUAAUUUUUUUUAUCCCAAUUAAAUAUUUGAAGUAUCCAAAUAUUAUAUAGUUUAGUCCAAAAUUUAACUACAUUAAAAAAAAAACCUUAUCGGAUUAAAUUAUGUCAUAUGUUUUUAUUUUUAAGUCAUAAUCCCUUUAAUAGUUAGAAAACGAAUCGAAAGAAUUAAAGGCCACCGUACAAAUUCCAAAAAUCAUAACUGAAAAUUUAUAUUUUAACUCACCUUGUGGUAUCCUAUUCCCACAAGCUCUUCAUAUUUACAUUUUUAUUAAUUUAAUUUUUAUUUUUAAUUCAAUUUCACCAUUAAAUUUUUAAAAAAAUUCAAAUUGUUUUUAAACAAAAAUAUUAAUAAUAUUAUUAUUUUUAACGAUAUUGAUGUUGCAACUUGCAUAAUAAUUCACGUAUAAUUCACGUUGAAGUUACAUUAUUUGUCUUAACAAAAAUAUUAAUAAUAUUAUUAUUUUUAACGAUGUUGAUGUUGCAACUCGCAUGACAAUCCACUUAUAAUUUAUGUUGACAUUACAAUAUUUGUCUUACACGUUAUUUUGGGAAAUGUGCCCAUAUUGUAAUAAAAAUGUAAUUGUUUUCUAUAUAUUUGAACGAUAAAUAAAUAAAUAAAGUUAACUUCAUAUUUUACUAUUAUGUUUUUUGUGUUUCUUUCCUUCAUGUUUUACAUGUAUAGCAAAAUUGUAACAAACAAAUAUUAGCUUAUUAAUUGUCUAAAUUCAAACUGAUGAUAAAUAGCACUGUAAGAAUAUUUACAUUGCAAGAAAAAUAACUUAUUUCAGUAGAUUAUCUAAACAAAUCAGUAAUCCCAUAAAAAAAUAAAAAUAAGUAUUUUAUUCAAAUAUUCAAAAGGAUUAUGUUGUCUACAAUUUCAAUUUGGGAGAUGGUUAGUUUUGGCUAUCGGAGCAGUUAACUUCACAAAUAAAGACUAGAUGAAUUAAUUGAAAAAUGAUAUAUUUGACUGGAUCCAAAAUAAAUUAAUUCUAAAUUCGUUCGUAAAUUAAUAUAUUUGUGACGUCAAUUGUGUGAUUUACCUAAAUCCUGAAUCAGUUACUAACCAUGCGUAUGUAACUCAAAUGUUUUGAUAUAAGUAAAGGCUUAUACUCUAAAAAUGAUCUAGCAAUAGUCGGUAUGUUAAGUACAUGACUUGUAUAUAACAUGGAUUUACUAGCAAUAAUAGAAUUCAUAACUCGAUUAAAGAGUUAACGAUACCCUUUCGUUGGCAUUAUGUGGAUUAAUAAAAUAUGAAACUUGGUUACGAGUUACUUUUUCUCGAACAAGCAAUUUAUCAUAGUCAUUUUUUAACAAUAAUAUUAUUAAUCAUUAAGAAGACACAAUAAUGACAGCGAAAUAAAUAGGAUUGUAUUAAGUGAAUGAAUUUAACACAAAUAAAUUAAGGAUAUCAUAUAAGAGUAACACAUACAUGACAAAGUCAUCGGAUAAAAUAGUUAGAUGAAUUGUUUUCGUAAAGAGUAUACAAUAAGGAGUUUUUAAUCAUGAUAUUUAUUGUGGACUGAUUCCAUGGUUAAGUAAAUUGUGAAUUAUCGGAUAAUACUUCUGGACAUAAUCAAAAUUACUAGAGCCUAAUUAUAUAUGUCUAAUUGGUCCCAUGGUUAGCUUAACAAUAACUCGAUUGGACUGCAUUUGAAUUAGCAGAAAAUUUUACGGCUUUGAAAAUAAUUUAAUAGAUUUGAUUUAUUCAAUAUGGAAUUAAAUUGAAGGUGUUGAUGAUUAUUCAACUAGAGAAAUUGAUUAAAGAAUUUUGUUGAAAAUUUAAUUUUGAAAAAUUUUAAUAAUUUUUGAGAAAAUUAAAUUUGAUUAAGCAAAAUUAAAGUAACCAAUUUGAUUAAAAUAAAUAUUAUAUUUUUAGAAAUUAAUUUCAAGUCAGAGAAUUGGCUAAAUCGGUAAUUGGACUUGAGAUCGAAAUUGGGCCCAAGAACCCAAAAUAUAAACUAAAACCCAAAACUGGAGCCUAAUAUGUGACAUCAAGUCGACGGUCCAGCCGGUGGCUGGAUCGAACCAGUUGGGUUAUCACUAUGCCUGAACUGAACUGGCAAUAGCCAAAUCGGUUCAGGGUGCUAUGAAGGUGUCACAACUGUGGUGACACCAUCGGACAUAGUGGCUAUGAUGAUGACAUUUCAGUAGCCGACGGAUGGUCGGCGACGGUAGUUCUUCUGUGGUUGAGCAGUGAAAGAAUUACACUUCGACUGAUACUCUAGCAGAUAAUUUGAUUUCAAAUUAAAUAUUCCAAACAUAAUAUUAUUUUAAUAGUUUUAAUAUUAAAUUUAAUAUUUAUGUUAUAGAUAAGUAUUCUAUUAAUUUAAUAUAUUUAAUGUUAAAUUUAAUAUGAUAUUUAUUUGUAUUAAUUUAAUAUUAAAGUGAUUAAGUUUAAUAAUAAUUGAAUUUUAUAAACUCUCCCCAUAUAAAUAGGUUUAGAUCAAGAGAAAGUUAUAAAGAGAAAAUCUGAUUCGAUAAACUUGAGCAACUUGAGGAUAGUGAAAAAAAGCAUUUAUUCUGACGAAUAAAAAAGGUAUAAUUUUAAUUAAGUGUUUAUUAUUUUAAACCUAUAUUUACUGUAUUUAUUAUAAAAAACAAUUAAAUUGUUUUUAGAAAAUUGAUCAUUAAUUUCGACUCUUCACGAAAAAAAAAAAACUAACAAAAUCUAAAAUUUAGAUUGACAAAAAUUAGACAUUAAAAGCUUAAUUUCUCAUUAUAUCUACCCUAUUUAAUUACCGGUCUAUCACGGUUAUUUUCAAUUUAUUGAAAUUAAUCGCAUUGUUUAUCAAAAUGAAUCGUCAAUUUGAACAGCCAGGAUCGUCCCAUUGGAAAUGGGCCACUCUGCACUUCAAACAAAUAAAUUAAAAUAAACAAAAAUAUACUUAAAAAUUCUAUAAUUCUUUUUUAAGGAGCGCUUCCACCGCCACCGCCGCCUCUUCCUAGGGUUUUCGGCGGCCUCUCUCCGCUACCAACACAGUAAACCUCCCUCUCUUAUCCACCUCAAUAUUCAGGUUAUUUACCUUCAUGCCCCUCUCUUACCCCUUACUUCCAUUUACUUCCAUUUAUCGUUUCUCAAAAUCAAAAUUUUUGCCCUCCAUCUCACUUUUUAUUUACGUUUUUGACACUGUAGCUUAGCUAUUUUCACUUCACGUUCUUUCAUCUUCGAUCAACUAGGGUUUUGCUUUGUUUUUUUUUUCUUUCAUUUACUUAUUAAUAUUUUUUUUAUUUUUAGUUUUCAAUUUCUGAAUGGCUAAAUCUUCGAAUCCGGAAGGGAAGCCCGGUGUGCGAAUCGUGGUGGCCGGAGACCGAGGCACUGGAAAGUCGAGCUUGAUUGUAACAGCAGCCGCCGAGACUUUCCCGACAAAUGUGCUUCGGUUGUUGCCGCCAACAAGGUUGCCGGAAGAUUUCUACCCCGACCGUGUCCCCAUCACCAUCAUUGAUACCUCCGCUAAGUAUAUUUCUAUUAAUUAUUCUCUACAUUACUUGCUUUUUUCAUUUUUGUUAAUAUUUGACGCAAUUCUAGUGUUAUUUGGAGCUGUAAUUGUAUUUUUUAAAAUGAAUUUAUAGUGAGAGAAUUGUAUAUUUUGUGUAACAGCUUUAGCUUGGACUUAGUUUAGCGCAUUAAAGAAGCAGGAUGUGAUAAGAUAAAAUCUUGUUUGCUUUGAUUAUGGCCAUGUUUGCAGUAAUUGUAGCAUUUUAAAUGAAUUUGUAGUGAGAGAGGUGUUAAAUUUUGCUUUAGCUUCGACUUAGUUUAGGCGUAGCAUUAUAAAAACGCAGAAUGUGGUAAGAUAAGUUCUUGUUUUCUUUGAUUAUGGUCAUGUUUUGUCUUAAGUUUAUUUAUUUAUUUAUUGUUUUUCCUUUCUAGUCCGGAGGAUAGAGGUAAACUAGCAGAAGAACUGAAGCGAGCUGAUGCACUAGUGCUUACUUAUGCGUGUGAUCAACCUGAAACCCUUAACAGAUUGAGUACUUACUGGCUUCCAGAACUUCGGCAAUUAGAGGUUUUUAUCUUAAUUUGCUUUUGUUCUUGUGUAUUUGUGCUAGUUUGUUCUUUUGAUAGAAAACAUGUUAAGGUGAAGUAAGUUGUCAAUAUCUUUUUAACAGUGUUGGGCCUGCUAUUAAUUCUACUUCAUGUGCCUGUGUAGGACCCAUAGCAAACUCUAGAAGGCUGAUGGUUAUGAGGAAAGUGACCUUAUGGAUAUAGGGAAAAAUCACAAAAUAUCAUCAUGUCGUUACUUUUUCAUAUUUAUAGCAUUUGAACCAGUUUCAAAGGAAUUUAAAUAUGCUUUCAGGAGGCCAGUUGGCUCAGUCAGGAUUUUACUAUACUUAAUAGCACAUUAUCUUUUCUUACUACACCUUGUAGAUCACAUGGAUAUUUUUUUUCUUUCAUGAAUCUACUUUUGAUGAGACUGAAGUAAAUUUCUGUUGAUUAGGUGAAAGUGCCUGUUAUAGUAGUUGGCUGUAAGCUGGAUUUAAGAGAUGAUCAGCAGCAAGUGAGCUUGGAACAGGUGAUGUCACCGAUAAUGCAACAGUUUCGGGAGAUUGAAACUUGUAUCGAGUGUUCAGCAUAUAAACACAUUCAGGUAUGGAUAUAUGUCUUUUGUUUCUUUUGGAGGUUAAUUUGAAAUUCUGGUGCUAUAUAAUGCUGAUAAAAUGUAGACUAGUUUUAGCACCAAUUCCUGGUUUUCGCUUCUUGAGUGAAUUGUUGUCAGAUUUGCACACAUCAAUACUAUCAGAGAUUGAACUUUUAAAGUAUUUCCUUUUUUGGUAGAUCCCUGAGGUUUUCUACUAUGCACAAAAGGCAGUGCUUCAUCCAACAGGCCCAUUAUUUGAUCAGGAAUCACAAACUUUGAAGCCACGAUGUGUGAGAGCCUUGAAGCGAAUUUUUAUUCUCUGUGAUCAUGACAGGGAUGGUGCUCUUAGUGAUGCUGAACUCAAUGAUUUUCAGGUUCCUCAUUUGUUCCUUGACUUAUUUUUGUCUUUUAUUUUUAAGGUGGUUAGGACCUGUUUGGGUAAUGGCUUCAGUGUUUAUGAAUAAUGAUUGUCCUGACCAGCUUUGACAUUACCCAAACACUGCUUGAUGUGUUGAAUGCUUAAAAUUUUAAGCUCAAAACAAAAUAUUUUCUCAAUGAUAACUUAAGCUAUCUUGUACUUAAACAUCUAAAAAAAUCCGAUAAUUUGUUGUAAAAUAGGUCAAAUGCUUCAAUGCUCCAUUACAACCUUCGGAAGUAGUUGGUGUGAAAAGGGUUGUGCAAGAUAAGAUGGUUGAAGGAGUCAAUGAGCGCGGUCUUACAUUGACCGGUUUCCUAUUUCUUCACGCACUAUUCAUAGAAAAAGGCCGCCUUGGGACUACAUGGACUGUCCUGAGGAAAUUUGGAUAUAACAAUGACAUCAAACUUUCAGAUGAUCUAAUUCCACAUUCUUCAGUUAAACGAGCUCCUGAUCAGGUAAUGCUUCAUAGUAAACAUUAUUUUUAUAUGAAAAACUGAAGUAAGCAUUUAUAACUGUUAUUCCUUUGGUGGUUGUGUUUCCAACUAGAAUUGACUGACACAUUGUUUUUGCUUACAAUAUUGUACAUACGAGAAUUGGUAAUAAUUCGAUGUGCUGUAGAGUGAAAUUUUUACUAUGACUGGAUAUAACCAUUUAAUAAUCAUAUAUUUGAUUACCAUUGGAAUGCCUCGCUGUAUUUAAGAUGAGCAGUGCCUAAUUGGUUGAUAUUAGAUCAAUUUUUGUCUUAUUUCAAAUAUAAUGUACUAUGUUUGUUAUCAUAUACACUUUACUGUGCCAUUUUUUAAACUUGACAUUAUGAUUCUUUGCUCUUCUCUUUUUUAAUUUGUGUAGAGUGUGGAGCUGACAAAUGAAGCUAUUGAAUACCUGAGGGGCAUCUAUGAAUUGUUUGACGGUGACUUAGUAUGUCUCAGUCUUUUCGCACAUUUAUUUUAGUGUGAUGUACCUUGCCUUUGACAUUGUCCGGUCUACAAAUAUUAAUGCCCUAACAACUUGAAUAUUGUUCUUUUUCAGGACAAUAACCUUCGUCCAGUUGAAGUGGAGGAUGUUUUCUCAACUGCUCCCAACAGGUAUUAUGGUUCCCAAUUUGAAGUAACAUUAGUUCAUUUUCUUUUUAUUAAAUUGCAAUAUGUGCCCUAUUGAGAAGGGAAUUUAAGGGCAGGGAUGUCUUUUCCGUCCCAACUUUAUCCCUUUUUUAUUUUCUUUUACUUUGAGUGUGGGUGAGCAUACCAAUUUGGUCUGUCAAAAAAAGUAGGAUAACAAGCUAUUGCUGACUAAAUAGAAAGUAAAGAAGUUGCUUAAAUGAGGGGAUUUUAUUUUAGAAAAACAAGUGUUUAUAACCAUGUAUUUUGCGCAUAUAGAUAAUCUCUAUUAUUAUAAGUUGCCAACAGGACGCUGUUGUGGAUAAUGCUUGACAUUUUUUCUGUUUAACUUCAGCCCUUGGAAUGAUGUACCGUACAAGGAUGCUGCAGAAAAAACUGCACUGGGAGGGCUAUCUCUUGAUGCAUUUCUGUCAGAGGUAUUCAUGGUUUCCUAACUUCUUGAAAUGGGAAUAUCAUACUUCAUGCAGUCUCAUAAGAAUUAAUUCAUUGUUGACUAUGCUAUGUCUGAGGAAACUCUAAUGCCUCUUAUCUUAUGAAAACUUUGACUUGUUCUUGUUUUGAGUUUUGCAGUCCAACCAUUAAUUCAUUAUGGAAAUAAUGAAUAGCAACCCUAUGAGCAUUUGUGGCUGCUUAUGAAAAUGUUGUACUGUGGUUUUUAUUUCAUUUGGGUGGAUUGGCUUUUGGGGUUGAUCAUUACUUCAUAUAUUGGCUAUUAUAUAUGUCAGCCUGUGCUUGUAAUUUAUUAUUUUAUGUUGUGUGCUGCAGUGGGCCCUUAUGACACUCCUAGACCCAGCUCGUAGUUUGGAGAACUUGAUAUACAUAGGAUAUCCUGGUGAUCCUUCAUCUGCUAUCCGUGUGACUAAGAGAAGGCGCCUAGAUCGAAAGAAGCAACAAUCAGAAAGAAAUGUUUUCCAGUGCUUUGUUUUCGGUCCAGCUAAAUCUGGGAAAUCUGUGUUAAUAAAUUCUUUCCUUGGCAGGUAUUCAUUAGAACUUGUUUCCUAUUAACUAGAUCUCUUUUCCCCAAAUUGAAAAACUUCGUUCACUGUAAUGUAGGCCCUAUUCUGAUAUGUAUUCUCCAACUGUUGAUGACCGAUAUGCUGUGAAUGUUGUGGAACUGCCUGGGGUAAGUUCCAUUGAACUAUGUGCCAUGUUUUGGGAUUGUUUGUUGAAAGCGGCCCCCUAACUCAAAACACAGGGAUUUUUUUUAUGUCUUUCCAGAGGAUUGGGGACUUAAGCUGAAGUAACUUGAACUUUAGCAUAUAUUCAUUUCUUGCUCUUCUAGAUUCUAUACCAUAAAGCAUGUUUUCACGGGUAUACUAGAAAAAUGUUUCAUAAGGUUCAGAUGAAACAAUUUCUUUGAGAUGGUAACCUAUUAGAACCCACAUGUUCCUUGCAGUAUCAAAGCAAUCCCUCCUGGAACUUUCGCUUAUAAAUGCUUAUUGUUUCCUUGGCAUAUCCUUCUGGGCAUUUAGUUAGCAUAGCAAUUACUGAGUUAUAUAUAGCUAGGUUGAUAAAAUUUUGAGCCUUGGUUAACUUUAUUGUUGCUUUGAUGUGUUGAUGUUUCAGCUCUUGUACCAAGUGUAAUUUUCUUGUUCAUUUGUAGGGCAUAAAGAAAACUCUAGUCUUGCGAGAAAUCCCUGAAGAUGGAGUUGCAAAACUACUGUCUAGUAAAGAUUCUUUGGCUGUCUGUGACAUAGCAGUAUUUGUUCAUGACAGGUAAAUCACAGGCAUGCUUAAUUCAAACUAGGGUUUCAAAUCUAGAAGUAUCUGCUAUUAUAAGUUAAAAGAUUUCAGUAUUUGAUCCUAAUUACGCAAAAGGUUGUUCUCACAUGGGUUUGAAGUGUACUCUUUUUAUGUUAAGUAAAGGUAGUUAAACUUUUUUUGUUCCAUGUUUGAAUUUUUAUAAAAAUUCAUUUAGAUGCAUAUCCACAUGUAUUUGUUCCUUUUGCUGAGUGCUAUGUCAUGAUUGUCUGGCCUUUUUCAGUUCUGAUGAGUCUUCAUGGAAGAGAGCAACUGAAUUGCUCGUGGAUGUUGCCGGUCAUGGUGAAGACACUGGUUAUGAGGUGCCUUGCCUCAUUGUUGCUGCUAAGGAUGAUCUGGAUCCAUUUCCGACCGCAAUACAGGAUUCUACCAGGGUAUUUUGCAUUCAUUUUUUUUUCUUUUUUUGGUCUAAAUAAUUUAAAGUUCUGACAUGGUUAAGUGAAUAAGUAGAAUGUCUUAGAAGACUCAUAAAAUUCUAAAUUUUGUGUUCAUUUCAUUUAGACCGAGCAAUAUUAGACUUGAGACUGAAAAAAUAACUAAAACAUUAAUGAUACUAAUAUAAAAAUGCCUCAAAAUGAAUUAUUAACGUGUCAAAGUUAAACAAAGAUAAAUUAACUUAAACACAAUUUUUGACAUAGCAAAAUGUACGAACACAAUACAGAUACACAGAUUUCAGGUCUAAUGUCAUUGAAGAGGUGCAACAUGUGUUUAUGUCACUGUUUGCCUCACCGUAUAGGGUAAUUGCAGGGGAAGUCCUUUGCAGUUUCAUCUUGAAGAACAGGACUGAAUGCAUAUCGUUGCAAAUUUUGCUUUUGCAGGUUAGCCAGGAUAUGGGAAUAGAGGCACCUAUACCUAUCAGCUCAAAAUUGAGUGAUUUCAAUAACAUAUUCCGAAGGAUAGUAAAUGCUGCUGAGCCUCCUCAUUUGAGCAUUCCUGAAACUGAGGCUGGCAGAAGUCGGAAGCAGUACCAUCGGCUUAUAAACCGAUCUCUCAUGUUUGUUUCAGGUACUCUGAUAGUCUGGCAUCCCACAACCGUUUCAUUCUUGAUGCACUCAGAGCUUUGGGUUCUUGAAACAUGGUUUGCCAUGGUUAGAUUUUGUUAUGAGUAGCUGCUGUACACAUCAUUUUUUGCGAUACCCUUGUCUGAAAGUCUAAUGUCCAAUGCAUAUUUGGACAUGGAUAGAGGAUAAGACCCUCCGAAAGAUAUAAAUAAACUUUUAAAAAGAGAUUUGUGCCAAACACAUACCCGUUUCUAACUCUCACUCCACAUCCAAGUAACAUAAGUCGGGGGCAAGUACUAAUGUACCUCUCCUUUUGUGUUUUGAACUUGGGUAUGGUGUGCACUUUAAAUCCUUGACAAUAUCUAGUUAGGGUUCUGUUUAAGCCUUACGCAGGAUGUUCAGACACAUCAGCUUACUGCUCCUUGGCCGUGCUUUUCUUGGAGGAUUAAUGUGCAAGCUUUUGGAAAAUCGGAGACAACACUCCUUUUAUUGCUUCAAAGUUGCUUUGACAUGAAUGUCACUGCUUGUUCUUUUUUUUUUUUUUAAUCUGUUUCUUCCCUCUGACUUGCCUUUUUUUUUUUAACUUCUCUCUUUAUAUUUUAUCUCAAUAGUCACAUUCAUGAUGCUGAAUUGUUAAUCAUUUUCAAUGCCGUGUGUUGCUUUUUACAGUUGGAGCUGCUGUAGCCAUUGUCGGAUUGGCAGCUUAUCGUGUAUAUGCUGCAAGGAAGAAUGCCUCCAAUUAAGGAUGAAGAUUCUCCUAUCUCUUACACACUAAACAUGGUAAUUUCAUCUUCUUAGAAACAUCUAUUCCUUGCUUUUAUCAAAUUUCCACUCCCUCAUUUCCGUUCAUAUAAGAAAUCCUUAUACGGAGAAAAAAAAACCUGCAAAAAAUCUACUGUCGUAUUAAUGGUGGAAGAGUUUGAUGUGUAGAAAUAUUAGGAGGAAAAAAGGAAAAUGUUGAACUGAAUUGUGUAAUGAAAAAAUUUUGCUUAGAUUUUUAGCCAUUUUGUUACAAUGUUCAUCGCUUGGUUAUGUUUUUUUUCUUGAAAUAUUGAUGUUUUGUCAUAUUUUCGGACAUGAGAUAGUGAUCUCUUCAAGAACCCUCCGAAGAACAUACUUGUUUUCGAACAACUUCCGUGUUAAAACUACAAUAAAACCAAAGUAUUCAAAAUUGUACCGAUGGUUGAAUUGGUCAAAUAUCGGUUUUCGGUUCAAUCAGUUCAAUUGAAUAAAUUACUAAAAAAAUAUAUUUAAUAAAUAGAGACAAUUGGUUUAACCGAUUCAGCAGUCGGUUUGAUGGUUCAUUGAUCAAUUGGUCUGAUUCCUUAUUUUGAACUGGUAUCUUGACCGGUUCCUGGUCCAGUUGUUCUUGACCAGCUGGUCCAAUCCAGUUAUGAAAACAGAAGAAAACUGGCAUAGGCAUUUCUAGCCUAGUCUAAUCUCUCUUUGAAGUUGUGCCUUGUUGAUACUUCUUAGUUCCGUUUGUUUAUGUUAAUCAUCUCAAAGAGGGGAUUUCAGUAACUUGAUUAGAUAAAUUGAUCUAAAUAAGUUUAUUUGGUCGGUUUGUAAAUUUUUGUUUUUUUUUUAAAUCAAUGGAUAAACUUACGCCUAAUUUUUUAAAAAAAUGGUUGUGUUUUCUAGAGAAAAAUUGUAUGUUUUUGUUAUAAUAAUCAGAUCCGAAUUAUAGUACAAUUACCUGAUCUCAUAAAUUGAUUCCAUGGGCCAAAGCAAAGUAAAAUCUAUCCUAAUAUCAAUGAUCUCAAAAUCGGUUGGAUUAUUACUUGAAUGAAUUUGAUUGGUAUAACUCGUUUAAUUGAAUAAAUUAUUAAAAAAUUUAAAAGAUAAUAUUAAAUGAAAUAAAAUAAAAUAAUUGAGAAAAAAAAUUCUAUUUCAAGUGGUAGGUAAUUUUUUAUUUACUUAUCAUUUUUCAUACUUUUUUAUUAAAUAUGAGUUAUUUUUAUUAUAGAUUAUUAAAUGUGCUUAAAAUAUUAAAUUACUAAAAAUAUUAAUUUUUAAUUGAUUUAUUUUUUAAUGAUUUAUCAAACAAGGUUUAAGUUUGCCAAUAAGGUCUUAGCAUUGUUAAUAAACGCUAAAGCGAUAAGACCUUAAGUACCUAUGUUUGAGUCUCAUUGUGCACAUUUGCAAUGUGUAGGAUGUGUGGCUCUCCAGUUAAAGUGUUUAUGGGUAGAGUUUGGCUUAAGUAUGAUAUUUAUUUUAUAUUUGUGCAAACUUGAUCCAACUUGAUUUUGUAAUAUUUACAUUAUAAUAUUUUAUAGGGUAAACUAUAAAAAUAAUAAUUGUUAUUUGCCUGAGAUUAUAUAAAUAUUACGUUUUGGUUACUUACAUUAUUGUUUUGUUACGAAGUGGUCACUUUAUCAUUGAGCUUUGUUAUCUCCCUAAUGGUGGUCCUAUGUGGUAGUCCAAAUGAGUUUUAAAUGCCAACUUGGAUAUUCUUUAUGACAGUCCAAAUUAAAUUUAUUUAAUUAAUAACUUAUUUUCAUCCCGGCAGUUGGACAUCUAAGUUGGCAUUUAAAACCCAUUUAGACUACCAUGUAGGACUUUCGUUAGGGAGGUAACAGAGCUUAACGGUAGAGUGACCACUUCGUAACAAAACAAUAAUGUAAGUGAUCAAAACAUAAAAUUUCAAAUAUAAGUAACUAAAAUGUAAUUUGAGGCAAACAAAAGUGACUAUUUUUAUAGUUUACCCUAUUAUACAUUUCGUCUUUACUAGUUUCUAGUGUCACAUGCCUUGCAUGUGAUUUUAUGCACUUAAUAUUUAAUGAAAAUUUUAAACCUUUUUUAAUUGUAAAUAAUUAACGAAAAAUAAUAUUUCUUAUUUGAAUUGUUAAAUAUAAAAUAAAUUAACUUAUCAAUUUAAAUAUUAUAAUAAAAAAUUUUAAAUCAUAAUUUAAGCAUUUUUAACAUAGUCAACAUACAAUAUAAUUUUACUUUAUGUAAUUAAUGCAAAGUAAGAUUAUUCAAAACAACAAUUGAUUAACAUAAUAUUAAUAAAAUAACAAUUAAGAUGCUUAGAAUUCUAUUCAAGUAUUAACUAUAUUUUAUAUCAAUGAAAUUAGCACAACAUUUUUAAAAUAAAUUUAGCACAACUUCUUUUUCACAUCAAAUUUUUAAUUAAUAAUUGUAAUUUUAAUUAUCACAAUUUUCCCUAUAUUUUAUGCUUAGAGUUUCAUUUAAGUAAUAACCUAUUUUAAAAUUAGCACAAUUUUUAACUAAUAACUGUAAAUUAAAUUUAAAUUAUUUUAAAUGUAUAAUUAUUACAAUUAUUUUACUUCAAUACUUUUUAUCUUUAAAUGUGAUUUUAGUAAUAUAAAAAUAAAAGGUAUUUUUGUCAAUUAAUAAAUUUGUCUAAACUUGUGCUUUUAUAUAUAGUAUAAAUAUGUUAUAAAUUAUAUAAUACAUAAAAUAACAUAAUAUAAUAUAUGAUAAAUAUAGAAAACAUAUUAGGCCAGGUUUGAGUCUUGGAUGUAUAAGUCUGAGCUCGACUCAUAUUUUAAACUGACUUAACUUUUUUAAAUACAUUUUUCAUGCCUAAUAUUUUUGCUCAAAACUUCUCAAAGUUUGAACAGGCCUUUAGACUUAGUUGAGUGACUCAACCUGUGAACAAGUCUAGUCUCUGGUCUCACCAUGCACAAUUAUCAUGUAUGGAUUUAUAAUUGUAUUAUAUUUGUGGUUAUAUUGUAUUUAUACUUAUAAAUGCUCAAAAAUAUUUAGUGUAAUUAAACACAUUUAUAAAUAAAUUAAUCCAAUUAAUUUCAUCUUGAGUAAGAUAAAUGUUUGUAUAUUCAACAAGUAUGCUUAAAUCUGUCGUGUUUAAAAUUUUCAUAUAUACAAAAUUUUAUACACUAUAUUACAAAUUAAAUUAAUAUAUAUAAUUUUGAGAUUUAUCCCACUAAUAUAUAAAUUUUUUAAAUUAAUAAUUAAAAAUCUUUGAUUUGAUUUUUAAAAAACCUUAAUCAAUGUAUUAAACAAACUCUAAUUUUUUGCAAUUGAGAUCUUGGUAUUAUUGGUAAAGGUGAAAGUUAUAAAUUUUGAGUAUCUAAGUUCGGGAUUAAUUAUACUUAAUCAAAAUAUAUAAAUUUUUGAGUUCUACCAUAAGUUAUUAUCGUGUGUGAGUUUUAAUUUGGUUAAUUAAUUCAUGGUUUGGAUUAUUCCAAUUCGAAGUGUAUUUGUAUUCUAAUGGUAAACUUAAAAAAAUAAACACUAAUUUUCCGCGAAAAACCCUAAUUUAACUUAAUCGGGUUAAAAUUACCCAAACCCAAACUUUUAAAAACCCGAGGCACACGCUCCUUAUAAAAAUACUAUAUAUAAAAUAGCCGUUAGAAUAUCCAACGGCUCAAGUUAUUCCAUUUUGAAUCCAAUCAAAUAAAACGAAAACCCUACCCUCCCUUUCAAAAUUUAAACUCGACACUUUAGUUUAGCUCUCCCUCUCUCUCCCUCUCUCUCGCCAAUUUCUUUACUUUUUUCAAAAAUUCUCAAUCUAAUAUCUUUUCUAAUCUCCUAAUUUCUCUUCCUAAAUCGUUUAAUUUUCUCCCUUGAUUUUUCUUUUCUUUUUUCUAAUAAUCGAGAUCUCUUUUUUUUUUUUGUAAUCAAAUGGUUGAAAUGUGCUCGGAGAGUUGCGAUCAGAUCGUUCUUGAAAAAGGUUAGCGCUCUGGUUUCUUUCUUUCUAUUUCUUCUUCAAUUAUUUAUCAAGUUUUCUGAUCUGUGAAAAUCUGUGAUUUUUUUUUACAGAUCAAACGGUGGAGAAUGAACCGAAGCCUUCUCCGAAGUCUCACAUUGGUUAGUUCAUUUUCUUUUUCUUUCUUUCUUUACUUUGAUGAAAGCAUUUACGCAAAUUUUUAUGAAAUAUUAUCUAAAUUUGAAGAGAAAAAUAGCAAUUAGGGAUGACCUUUACGUGUUAAAAACCCUAGAAAAUUCCUAUUUGGAUUGUACUUGUAAUGUGAUUGAUGAUUCUUGAGUUUUAUUUUGUUUAGUUUAGAUAUUCUAUGUAGCAUUUAUUAAGUUGAAUUUUAAGCAUUUUCUUCUAUUGGCUAGCAAAUGUGUUGCAAUGCUUCUGUUUUUCUUAAUUUAGCGGUGCAUUUGCAUGUUGAAAUGAUCAUAUUUGGGAGAAAGUAUGUUGUUUAUGUAUUUUAGCAAUUAGAAUUUUAAUUUGAAGAAUAUUGGCUGUUUCUUUAGAAAUUUUAGAAGAGAAUACCGAUUCCAUGGAUGAAGAUACUAUAUCCAGCAUGAACCAAGAAAUAUCUUCAGCUCAGGGGCCAACUCUUCCAAUAUUACAGAAAGUUAUUAAUUUGAGUAACAGUGUUCAGGUAAAUUAGAGCUGGAUACUGCUUUUCAUAAGCUUGAUAUGUAUAAUUUUUUUACUUGUUUAUGUCCUCAUUAAUGGUUCAAGGAGUUGACUUUGAUUAACUUAAUGUUACAGAAUUUGAAGAAAGAGCAUGAAAUUCUGUCUGAUCAAGUGAAGGCUUUUCCUGGUCACGACAUUGUAGGAACGCUUCAGCUUCUCAGUAAGUGAUCACAGUAUUGGGUGUUUUUUUAUUAUUUUUAUUUGUUUUUAUUUGAAUUGAUCUUUUACUUAUUUUUUGGUACAGAUAAUGAAUAUGACCUUCUGAAGAAGAAGUACCUGGAUGAGUCAUCAGAGAGGAAGCGCCUUUACAACGAAGUUAUUGAGCUUAAAGGAAACAUCAGGGUUUUCUGCAGAUGUAGACCUCUAAACCAAGUUGAAAUUGCGAACGGUUCCUCCUCUGUAGUUGAAUUUGACUCAUCCCAAGAUACUGAGUUACAGAUAGUUUCUUCUGAUUCUUCCAAGAAGCAAUUCAAGUUCGACCAUGUAUUUAGACCUGAGGAUGGCCAAGGUAACCCCUAAGAUCUCUUAACAGAGUUUACACACCUGAGAUCUCUUUAAGUAGUACUGUAUAUGUUCUUAAUUUUGUGUUUCUUUAACAAUGCAGAUGCUGUAUUUGCACGAACUAAACCCAUAGUAACUUCUGUAUUGGAUGGUUAUAAUGUUUGCAUAUUUGCUUACGGGCAAACUGGAACUGGGAAAACAUUUACUAUGGAGGGAACACCAGAAAAUAGAGGAGUUAACUACAGGACAUUGGAGGAGUUGUUUAGAGUUGCUGGAGAGAGAGGGGGUGUAAUGAAAUAUGAACUAUUUGUCAGCAUGAUGGAGGUCUACAAUGAAAAGAUAAGGGACCUCCUAGGAGAAAGCUCCAACCAGCCUACUAAAAAGUUAGUUCCUAACACUAAUUUAUAUAUGGUUGGCCAAUUUAGCCUUGUUGCAAAACAGACACUUACAUGCAAUCUGUUUACUUAUAUCUCCAUGAAGAAGGAAAUCCGUUGACACAAACUUUAAUAACUAUUCCUAGGGACAAUAAGUAGAGAAGAUAAAUUGGAAGAUAAAAUGAAGCUCAUAAUUUCUAGCCGGUCUCUGGUUAAAGUCCUAAUUUGAAGUCCAUUAUGUUGAUAAAGGUUGGAGAUCAAGCAAGCAGCAGAAGGGACACAAGAAGUUCCAGGACUUGUUGAAGCUUGUGUUUACAGUACAGAGGAAGUGUGGGAGCUACUAAAAUCUGGAAACCGGGUCAGAUCAGUUGGAGCUACCAAUGCCAAUGAAUUAAGCAGUCGUUCUCACUGGUAAUAUAUUAGUUUCUAUUUGUUUUGUUUCUGAAUUAUGUUUAAGAAGCUAGACUUUUAGUGAUCUAAUAGGAAACUUUUACUAUUCAACAACUCUAGCUGAGAAAUAAUGGUGCAUUUAACUAUAAUGACCAGAAUCUCUCUCUUUGCAGCUUGUUGCGUGUAACUGUAAGGGGAACUAAUUUGAUAAACAGCCAAAAGACUAAGAGUCACCUGUGGCUGGUAGAUUUGGCUGGCAGUGAGCGUGUUGGAAAAAUCGAAGUUGAAGGUGAAAGGUUGAAGGAAUCCCAGUUCAUAAAUAAAUCUCUCUCAGCGCUUGGUGAUGUAAUUUCCGCCCUUGCAUCCAAAACAGCCCAUGUUCCUUACAGGUUUCUCCCUCUCUCUUUCUUUUCAAACAACCAAAUAAAAAAAAUCAUUAUGUCUAACAUCAACACUUUUUCUACUUUUCCAUGGAAAACCAGGAACUCAAAGCUCACACACAUGCUACAGAGCUCUCUAGGUAAGCUUUAUCUCAUCGUAGUACCAGUGGAAGUUGAUUCCCUUUAUUCGAAGCUAGCUUAGUAGCUUAAUGGAAAAUCAUGAAAUAAUGCAGGAGGAGAUUGCAAGACCGUGAUGUUUGUACAGAUCAGCCCGUCUAGUGCAGACCUUGGUGAGACCCUUUGUUCAUUGAACUUUGCUAGCCGAGUUAGGGGGAUUGAAAGUGGUCCUGCCCGCAAACAGGUGGACCUUACCGAGCUUUACAAGUACAAGCAAAUGGUAUAACAAAUCAUUGUAAUAUAAAUGUUUCCCUCCAACUUUUCCACUGGAUUCAAUUUGUUUGACCUUUGGUUAUUGAUUAAUUAACAGGCAGAGAAGUUAAAACAUGAUGACAAAGAAACAAAGAAGUUGCAGGACAAUGUACAGUCCUUACAGUUGAGACUUUCUGCCAGAGAACAUAUAUGCAAAAGUCUCCAAGAAAAGGUAAAUCAUACAUUAAAUAAAUCGAACCGGUUAUCUCUGAGUAGAACCGCCUUUUUGGAUCAUAAACGUUUUUUCCUCUUCGUGUUUGAUGUCAGGUUCGUGACCUAGAAAAUCAGUUAGCAGAGGAACGGAAAACCCGAUUAAAGCAAGAAUCCAGAGCUUUUGCUGUUGCUGCUUCUACUAGACCAUCUCUUAAACAAGCGACUGAGAAUACCAAAGCGGAUAAAAAGCCGCCACUUGGUCCAUCAAAACUGAGGUUACCGUUGCGAAGAAUCACCAACUUCAUGCCCCCAGCAUCACCUAUGGCCACAAAAGGAAAGGCAACUAGAAUGUCCAUGGUAACAGCACCACCAUCAGAUGACAAAGAAAACAACUCCGAAACCGUGAUGGCACCACCAACAAACACGAAAAACCUUUUGAAACCGAGACGUACUUCCAUUGCUGUCAAACCUCCGGUCAAGACACAAGCUUUUCAGCCUAAACGGCGAGUAUCCAUCGCUACCCUCCGUCCAGAUGCCCACAUGACAACAACACCACUCCGUCGGUCUGCUUCCGGUUUCAACAAUGUUGGUACAAUGGAGAGACCGUCAUUGGCGCGUGAUCCCAGGAAAGCAAGGUAUUCUAGAUUGUUUUCUCCAUUGCCAGAGUUUAGUAACCCAUCAGAGACAUCACCUGCAGCCAUGAGAAGCAGUAGCAAAUUCAUGGGGAGCCCUCCAGCCGCGCAAGCGGGAUCAUUGAAGCCAAGACAUACGACCGUUGUUGCUUUACAACGGAAAUCGUUGGUGUGGAGUCCCCUAAAGUUAAAAGGUAUGCAAAGUAGUUACCGGAAGUCGUCGUUUUUGCCUUUACGACAUUCUUCCGAUAAGGAAUGAAGGUUUGAAUUCGACUCACUGUUGCUACCCUGUUAAACGGGUUAAUUACCAGAAGUGAACAUGCUGUUCUCUAUACAUUCAUUCUUCUAUUAUUGCGUUCCAUAUUUUCUGUGAUUUCUAGACCAAGCAGGCUCCUUCAAGAAUCGUAUACUUACAUUCUUGUAUUUUGGUCCUAGAAGUUGGAUAAAGUUUACAAAUUCUAAUUAGCAUAGUUUUUUUUUUGUUUUGUCAUAUUGAGUAUGUUUUGCCCACGAAUUCGCCUAGCUUCAAAUUUUUUUAUAUGGUUUUAAUUAUAUUUUAAUAGAUGUUUAUUAAAUUUUAAUAUGUAUUUAUUAAAAUAAUUAUACUUACUUUUUUUAUUAAUUAAAAUUUAGCUAAAAUUAUAUUUUUUUUAAAUCACAAAUGUUAAGCAUAAUUUGUAUAAGGUAAAAUAUCAAUUUGUAAUUUGAUUUAAUUUAUAAUUUGAUACAUAAACUUUGAUUUUGUGCAAUUAUACACAUUUAAGAAAAUAAAUACAUCAAUUUAUUUAUAUAUUGGAUAAAUAUAAUUAUUUAUGCAUUUAUUAUAUAAAAAAAUAAAAAUGGUCUUACAUAGAUAAUGUUGUUAAUUGUUUAUGAAAUUAAAUCGAAUCAAAAUGCUAUGUAUAAAAUUACACAAAUAAAAAUUCAUAUACAAUUUUAUAUGUUAAAUCAAAGUUUAUGUAAUUUUAAUAUUUCUCCUUAAUUAAAUAUUUACUAAAAUUUUAAUAUGUAUUUAUUAAAAUAAUUAUAACAAUGAUAUUUUAUUAUUAAUUAAAAACUCGUUAAAAUUAUUUUAAAAAAAUUCAUCAAGAAAUGACAAAUGAUUUCUUAUGUUAGAAAUGUCAAAAUAAUGUAGAUUAAAAAUGUGUUUUAAUAAAAAAUUAUGUGACCAUUUUAAUCGUGAUAGUUAAAAAUAUUUACGUUAAAUUAAUUAAUAUUAUUGUAAAAAUAAAUGAUUAAAUUAUGUCAAAUAAAAAAUAUAAUGACUAAAUAUUAAAUGUGAUAGUAAAGAGAUAAAAAGAAUAUAUUAUAUUUAAAAUACAUUAAAUAUGAGUAGGGCUAAUCUAACCUGAAGCCUAAAAAGAAUUCUUCAAGGUGUAGCUCAAAUAAAAAGAAAAGCUUAAAUUUGGUUCAAGCUUAUCUUUUAGACAUCAUACUAUUUUUCUAAACUCUAGUAUUUUAGGCUGGUUUUUAAGUUUGGAUUAACACAAUCCUUGAAUAGGGGAAUUUAAAUUUAAUGAUUAAAAACAAUAAUUCUUUUAAAUUUUAUUGAUGUUUUUAACACAUUUUAUUUAAAUUGUUGAUAUCAUAAAUAUAUACGUAUUUGCAAUUUGAUCAGUAUGUUUUAAAUAUAUUCCGUAUUAAAUUUAAACUAGUAUUUAAUGCUUAAAUUGACAAUUAGAAUAAUAAAAGAUUCUGAUUGAUAUAAUAUUGAUAUAUUAAGUACCAAUUAGAACAUUUUUUAAGUUUAAAAAUCAAUUUAAAUCUACAUGAUAGUUUGAUAACAUUGGGCGUAGUUAACCAUUCUAAACAAAUAAUUUUGAAAACACUCAGCUAAAGUAAUUUAUAAAGGUUAAUUGCAUCAAUCGUCGUCAAACUAUAACUUAUUAUUUAAAUUGGUCUAAAGAUUUUAAAAAUUGUUCUAACUGAAUAUUUAAAGUAUCAAUAUUACAACAAUCAAGUCAUUCUCUCAAUUUAACCAUUAACUUGAGAGUUAAAUACCAACUCAAAUAUAAUAUUGACUGUGGGAUACUUUUAGAACAUAUCAAUCAAUUUGUAAGCAUGGUUAUAUGGAGGUAACUUGGUUUUACCAUGAAUGGUCUUAGUUAUGGGUUGAUUACUUCUCUCUAAUCAAAGACGGAUGGUAUCGGUUCCCCUAGAAAGUUUUUAAAAUUCCUUUUAAAAAAAUUUAUUUAGGCCUUUAAAAAAAAUUAAAAUUUCUUAUUAAAUAUUUUUAAUUAAAUCCUUCCGAAUUUUGUCAGUAUUAAACUUUUAAACUUUUUUGAAAGUUUUAAUUAAACUUAUCAAAAUUUUAAAACAUUCUCAUUAAAUUCUCCAAUUUUUUGAAAUUUUAGUUAGGCCCUUUUUUUAACAAAAUAAAAAUAAAAAUCAAUUAUGAACUAAUAGUAGCAAUAGGGUUGGAUAACAGAAUGUGUCUAUCUAACCGUAUCUAACCAUCAAUCAAUGAAAGAGCAACAUGAAAAAUUCGAACACCAAUAGGAAAACCUUUCAUUAGGUCAACCAAAAUAUCAUAGAGGAAAACCUUUCAUUAGGUCAACCAAAAUAUUAUAGGCACAAUUCGCCUCUCUCGAUAUUUGCUUAAUGACCACUCUCCACUUAUUUUUACACAAUUCUUAGAUUUAUAUCACCAAAUCUUUAUUUGAAUGCCCUCUAAUAUCACCAUGGAGACAUUUGAUAGUUAGAGUACAAUCAAUCUUAACAAUAACAUUUUCCCAAUUAGCCUACUUAACGACCAUCAUAAAUAGCCUAAAGCUCACCUCACUGUAGACUACAUCUACUAAUGUUUCUUCCAAUUCCCUAUAUCCUUUUACCAUACUCAUCACGUGCCACUGCUACAGAAUAAGUAAGUUUCGAACUUGAAUUUAGAUAAUUAAGUUCUUAACUUAUGGGUUUCCUGAAUAUUAAUACAUUAUAAUUGAGGUUUAGAUGAUUAGGUAUACUAUACUUAUAAGCGUAUGUAGGCUAGCCUUAUAGGACAUUCAUUGGAUUGACUCAAUUAAUAUAAAAAAAGUUUUACCAAUAAUUUUAUUGAACGAAAUAUUUUUUUUUGUAAAUUAAAGAUUAUUAUGAAAUAAUUUUACAAGAAAAUACAACUAGAAAUUAAAGAGAAAAGAGUGUUUGACUAAUUGUUUGGUGACCAGGUAUACCAAAAUUAAUUUAAAAUAAAAGUCAUUAAUUAACCCUUCAUAAAUACAACCCAAAUUAUAAUUCAAACCCUCAAGUCCAUACAAUAUUAUAAUUUCUAACGUGCACGGUACACGCAAUGAUCACGUUAGCAUCAUCCACUACCUGCUUUGAAACGCUCACUACUUUAAAGUAAUAAAUUUCAAAAUAGUGAAAGAAUAAAAGAAGAAAAAAAAGUUAUCCUUUAACGUAGGAUUUAAGAGACACGUCAUCAUCAGCCAUCUUGUCUUGAAAAGUGUGCCCAUCCGGUUUUUUUCUUUCUGAAUAUUUAUAUAUUUUUCCAAUUACUUAAAAACUCCAAAAAACAAAAAACAAAAAACAAAGUACAAUUAUUUUUGCAAACUUUUGCCUCUCUCGUUACGUUACCUACAUAUUCUUUUUUAUUUCAUUUUGCCGCUGAAAAAGAAACCGCCGUGAAAAAUGGAAUCUCCAGCUCAACGCCGCCUCAACGCUAUCCAAUCUCACCUCCUCCCUUCCGCCGUAUACGCCGCCGAGGAUGAAUCCUUGAUCGGACGUAAUGUUACCUCCUCCUCUUCAUCUCCACCGUUCUUUGUUGGUAGGUAACUCUGCAAGUCACUGAACGUAUACGUGAUCGUACAUUAAGUAAAGUUGACGACGUGAUCAUUCGUUUUUUUUUUUGUAUGUAUUCCGAAGUUAUAUAUAUAUAUUAAGGAAAUGGAAGUGUUUUUAUGUGUUUGUGUAUUGUUUGAUUGGUUGCUUAUUUUGAUUUGAUCAUCGUAGCGUCUUGAUUAAUCUUAUUAUUUCUUCCGUUCGUACGCACAGUUACUGAUUUGAUUUAUUCUUUUUUUUAAAAAAAUUUCGUUGUUAAAUAGCCAGAAAAUUGAAGUUUUUGAUUUGAUCAUCAGUAUAUGAGUUGAUUAAUCUUAUUCUUGACGUAUAUACGUUGAUUAAUCUUAUUCUUCUUAUUUUAUGUACUUUCAAGUUAAAUAUUGAGAAAUUUUCUGGUUGAUGGCUUAGUUUGAUUUGAUCAUCAUGUUAUAUGAGUUAAUUAAUCUUAUUCUCUUUUAUCACUUUAAUCUUUGUUUUCUCAUUUUUUUGGCUUAUAAUUGUUUUUGUAGAUCAACAGUACAGUGUGGUUCUUCCUGAGAAAUUGCAAACUGGAAAAUGGAAUGUUUACAGGUCUCUGUUUCUUGCUACACUCUGCUUCUCAUUUUGUUUUUGAAGUUUUUUUUUUAAAUGUUGAAUUUGCUUCCGCAGAUCAGCUCGGUCUCCGAUGAAGCUUUUGAGUCGGUUUGAUGAUCAUCCUGAAAUCGGGACAUUGCAUGAAAACUUUGUGUGAGAGUUUUUUUUUCCUGUGAUUGCUCCUUUUAGUUAUAAAGUACUAUACGCUUAUUAUAUGUUUUUCAAUGUUCGGUUACUUAGACAUGCUGUGGAGAAUUAUAGAGAUUACAAGUACUUGGGAACGCGGAUUCGGGUGGAUGGAACAGUUGGGGAGUGAGUUAUUUAAGUAUUUUGUUUUAAAAAGUUUAAAAUUCAAUUUUAUUCAGAAUUAAUACGGGGAUUUUAAUUGUGUGAUUCUGUUAAUUAUGCUUUUCAUAUGAAGGUAUAAGUGGAUGACAUUUGGAGAAGCAGCUACAGCUCGGGAGGCUAUAGGUUCUGGACUUAGGUAUUAUGGGUUAGAACAAGUAAGUUGCUUCGGGGAACUUGGUUUCCCUUGUUUUACAGUCCAGCUUUAUCCAGCUGUGGAUUUACUCGGAACAUAUUAGCUCCCUACACCUAGAAUUCCUUGCUGUUCCAAUGUUUAAUUAUUGAUAUUGUUAAGUCAUUUUUUACUUUUUGUGGUUCUGGAACAGGGAGCUUGUGUUGGACUUUAUUUUAUAAACCGACCCGAGUGGAUGGUGGUUGAUCAUGCUUGUUCAGCAUAUUCGUAUAUUUCAGUUCCUUUAUACGAUACUCUAGGUAUGCUUUUGACUGGUUAAUUAAUUUCUCUCAAGUCUUUGUAGCCCAAUUCUAACAGUGUUCUGCUCUUUUGCAGGUCCUGAUGCUGUUAAGUUUGUUGUAAACCAUUCUGGCAUUAAAGCUAUUUUUUGUGUCCCAGAAACCUUAAAUACGGUCAGUUGCAUUUUUUAGUGCCAUAAAGUUGUGGACCUAUGUUUUGCACCAUACUAGUUUUUAACUUUCUAUAAAACCGUGUAAAACUUAUUGCAUUAACUUCUGAUUUAAAAUAUACUGCUUAUCUCAUUUUGUCUUAAAAUUGCAGCUGUUGAGUUUCAUAUCUUCUAUUCCAUCUGUACGUCUCAUAGUGGUAUGUACUUAUAGAAUCUCAUUAUAGAAUCAUAACAAAACUAUAUGUCUGUCAGGUGUUUAUUCCCACUAAGCAUGCUCUUUCUCUUGGCACUUUUUAUUAUGCAGGUGGUGGGAGGAGCUGAUGAACACUUACCUUCACUCCCCUCAACACCUGACGUGAAGUUCGUAUCGUAUUUAAAAUUACUUGGUCAGGUAUAUAAAUAGUUCUUUGUGUUUUUUUAAGUUCAAUCAUUUCAUCUUCAAUAUGCUGCUUAUAUUUUAUGUUGCUACACGUGCUUUAUGUUGUUGUAUGACUGUUGAUAUAAGAUCAAGUUGUUUUUCAGAACUUAGAAUUUUUCCUCAAAUUAUUUGGAAUGUUGAUAGCUGUAAACACUUUAUACCUGAUUACUGACUAAGUGGUUGUAUUAUAGCAUAGGAUCUAUAAUGAGUUUAUCAAGUCAUCUAACUGAAAUGCGAUCGAAAUUGCAGAUCUGCCUAUUUAAUUUGGCUUCUAGUUUACAUCAACUUAUUCUAAAUGAUUUUCUUUUAGGGCCGCAGAAACCUGCAGCCAUUUUUCCCUCCUAAGCCUGAUGAUGUUGCGACAAUAUGCUACACCAGUGGUACUACAGGGACACCAAAGGUAAGAUUCUUAUGAUAACUUUGAUGUUGGACUUCUCCUGCUAGUUUCCCUUGCAGGCCUUCACUUUCUUUGCUGCCUAACGUAUACUGCUUGUUUUCUCUGCAAAGGGAGUUGUCUUGACACAUGGAAAUUUAAUUGCAAAUGCUUCUGCUUUCUGCCGAAAAGUGAAAUUCUAUCCCUCAGACAUGUGAGUUCAGUGUUCAAUUUAUCACCUGAUAUAAUGCAAACUUACAAUUUUUUUUUUUAAGAUAUAUUGCUUAUUGUUUCUCUAUUUAUCAAUGUUCUCAUUUUAUAGUUACAUAUCCUAUCUUCCUUUGGCGCACGUUUAUGAACGGUCAAACCAAGUCAUCUGUUGCAACAAUGGCGUUGGGGUUGGCUUCUACCAGGGGGUAUGUGACAUUGUUAUUAUAUUAUCUUUACUUAUAAACCAUAAUUAUUCUUUCCUUUUCAAUUUUGCAUCAUUCAUUAAUAGCAGAUAAUGGGAUAAAAGUUUAGAUCUGCAAUAUCUUAAAAGUUAAGAUAGGCAGCUGUCUGUUUGUUUCCCUUUUUUCCUUUUUUUUUUUUUUUUUUUGGUUUGGGGGGGGGGGUGUAUUUCCGUUGGUGUCCAAUUCAAAACUUUGGUCCAGGGUAAAACAGAUAUAAUUUUCUUCCCAAUUCUGUAUUGCUCAAAAUCUGGUUUGGUCUUCAUACAAGUUUUAUGAAGUCUAUGCCCCUCGUGUUUGCAGGACAAUUUGAAACUGAUGGAUGAUUUAGCUGCUCUUAGACCAACUAUAUUUUGCAGUGUGCCUCGAUUAUAUUAUCGAAUCUAUGCUGGGUAUGAUAGUGGUUGAUUUUGGAAAAUAAAUGAAUUGCAAAUUUUUUGUUUAUCAAUUCUUAUUUAAAUCAUUUCGCUGCACAGAAUCACCAAUGCUGUCAGCACUUCUGGUGCUUUAAAGGAGAGGCUAUUUAGAGCUGCCUACAAUUCCAAGAGGCAAGCCAUCAUGAAUGGUAUCCAAGCUAAUAAUUGAGUUUUCCUUUUUUAUUAUAGCGUAAAUUUUCUCAAUAAUUUUCUGCUACAUCAUAUUGAUGAUCAAAGAGAAUGUAUAUAGAGUUAUAAUGAGAGAAUUUGAAGCAUAAAACAGUAAAUUCUAUCAGUAUGCUUGCCUCAUGUUUAGCUAUCCAAUUGCUUGUCCCUCCUACAAUUGUUCCAGGAAGGAAUGCAUCGCCAAUUUGGGACAAAUUGGUCUUCAAUAAAAUAAAGGAAAAGCUUGGAGGUCGAGUACGUAUUCUGGGAUCCGGUGCUUCCCCUCUGUCUCCUGAUGUAAUGGACUUCUUGAGAGUGUAAGUCAAUUUUCUUAGAUGAGGCAAUUGUACAAGACUGCUGUCUCUGAGCAUUUUGUUAGCACUGUACAGGUCCAUAGGCCAUAUCCAUUCAAAUUGGCAACAAUGGUACGAUUUGAUUGUGAUAUGGUAAAGAUAAAAACUGAAUUUGCGUAGCUUUAUGUUCCUCGUCUUUGAUAUGAAAGUAUUUUGCAGGUGCUUUGGCUGUAUGUUAAUUGAGGGCUAUGGCAUGACAGAGACUUCUUGUAUCAUAACCUUGAUGGAUGUAGGGGACGUCUUAGCUGGUCAUGUUGGGUCUCCACAUGCUGCCUGUGGUGAGUAUCCUUGAUUUCUUUCAGGUGGAAACUUUAAAAUAUGGAUAGAAUCAGUAUAUCACUUUCCAGGUGGAUAAAUUGGACACAUUAAUUACCAAAUAUUACAAGUUGAACUUUAGGGACAGCUGAGAAUCUCUAGCUUUAAAUUCUGGAUAUCUAAAUGCUAGUCAUUUUAAAAUGAAGGACUUGUUGGUUAGAGUUCAUCUGAUUUUGGAAUUUUGUUAUCUUCAUGAAUCUUGUUUCAUUUGAUCAUCAAGGUCCUUUAUAUUUUGUUAAAAUCCAUUUUUGUCUUCUCAGAAGUGAAACUUGUAGAUGUUCCUGAAAUGAAUUACACCUCUGAGGACGAGCCAUAUCCUCGUGGGGAAAUUUGUGUGAGAGGUCCUAUUGUUUUUCAGGGCUACUACAAGGAUGAAGUCCAAACGUAAUCAUCUUCCCACGUUGUUAUAUUUGUUGCCUUAUUUAGCAGCAAAUGUUUAAUAGACUCAGUUGCCUUGUUGGUUGAACAGGAGAGAAGUAUUUGAUGAUGAUGGCUGGUUUCAUACGGGAGACAUUGGUUUGUGGUUACCCGGAGGUCGUCUCAAGAUUAUUGAUAGGUCAUAUUUGUUUAACCUUAUUCUCAUAUUAUACGAGGUCUAUAUACGAAUAACACCUUGAUCUAUUCUCUAGAUAUCUACAUAUUUUUAUAUGAGACAGUGAUUGUGCUUUAUUAGUAGUCUUGUUUGUGCAUGUUUUGAUUGCAUGUUGGCUGCAUUCGGUUGCUAGAAGAACCUUUUUGGACACUUUAGAAUAAUGUUGAUCUUCUUCAGUGAUGAACCAUCUGCUUUGGUCAUUUUUAUCCAUGGCAGUUCAACUUUUU